ensembl:processed_transcript Gm4117 predicted gene 4117
GUGCAGCUGUCUGGGAGCCCAGGAAGUCACACCCGUCUCGCGCACUGAGCUGAAGCUCCAGCCCACGUGGCGAAUAGCGAACCCCCCGGCGCUGAAGGGAGUGCCUAGCCGAGCCCCUCCUCCAAACCAGGGUACUUGGACUAGAUGGCAGUUCUGUGUUGCAUGGCGUAUUUGAGCAUGACAAGAUGCCAGUGAGGUGUGGAGAAGCAGAGGAAUGAAAAGUGUCCUGUGCAUCCAGAAGACACACUGCCUCUCACUUUUCAUAAUGCUGGAUGGAACUGUGUGGCUAAUACAUAUUCAUAAGUCCAAGGCGAAUGUCUUAGAUAAAUGAACAAACAUCACAGCAUUGCUUGCUGGGCGGCUCGGCUAAUGCUUCAGAAUUAGUAAUGUGUUAUUUACAGAAGUGAAAUAUUUGCUUCCCUUGGCACCUUCUCCUACAUGUAAAUUACUGGCCCAUUUUAAAUUUUUGUGUGUAUUUAACUAUUUUUGGUAGUUAAAUAUGAUCCAGCAAUAUUUUAGUUUUAUAAGAUAUGAAUCUUAAAAAUUUUUAUUUUCUCAAAUGGAAAUCUUCACAUUGCAGAGAUAAUGACUUUGAAGUAGAUUUCCUGCACCACCCCCCAAGGCCCCUUCUUAUAUCCAUGUAUUUACUUGUAUUCCCACCAAUAAGGAGCACUUACCCAUGGGAUGCUAAUACUUUUUAAAACAAAUGGUUCUAUUUUCAGGACUUCACAGGCAAUGAGGCAACCUAUCUGUUAAUUGAGGAGGAGCUGACACUAUUAAAUUUGGUUCUAUAUGGAAGUGAUGAAAUAGAAAAAGCAUUGCUUGUUCUUCUGAAGAAAUUUCUAUUUAUGAAUUAAGGAAGUCAACACUCUUUACUUAGGUGUGGGGCUUUGUAAGAUGGACCCCCAUAAUGCUGGGAUUUUAACUAGCAUGCAUCUGUGCAGGUAAACACUGCUGCUCUAAGUUCAUGAGUGUAACAGUCAUGUUACCCCUAGAACAUGACACUCCUCCCUGUUGUCAAACUCUCACACCUUUUCUGUCUCCUUCCUAUGAUGUUUCCUGCAUACUGAAGGAGGAAUGCCGAUAUAGACAUUGAAUCCAUGAUUGAGCAUUCUUCACCACUUAGUCUGCAACUCUUGGCCAAUUAUAAAUCUGUGUAUUGAUCACCACACACCUCAAAGAGAAUCUUCUCUUGCCGAGGCCAAGAGAAGAUUACCCUUUAAAACAGUUUAAUAAAAACUUUCAGUGACACAGGUUAAUUCAAGAAGAAAUUCCAUGGGAAUUUCAGAGAAAAGAUGGAAAAAUCCAGAAAAUCCAACUGAGAAGCUCAGUAAUGCUUAGGGUUCAAGCCAUAGCUAAUGGGUUUAAUAUCCCAGAAACUGUUUCCUGUAUAAUAAGGCAACAUUAUUCUUUUUCUUUCUUUCUUUGGCUUUUUUUUUCCUUAUGAAAAUGGACUCUGGUUUAUUUGCUAUCGGGAGCACACAAAAGUCCUUUGAAUGGCCGGUCUGUUCCGUUUCUCUCCAUGUCCCCUUUCUCUCACAGGAGUCUUGCUUUCCCCCUUUCUGGCCCCACACAUACUUUCCUUAAAACAAACAUCCUUGUUUUAAAAGCAAAGAAGACUCUGCUCUCCAUUCUUGUUUGACUUCCCACACAUUGCUGUUAACGAUUCCCCAAACACAGAUGGAAGACAGGCUUGGACUCUUCCACUGUAAGCUAUUUCACAAGAUCUCUGCCCUUUAAAUAUUUUGAUUUGUUCUUCUGGAAAGAAACUUUCCCUGUCAGCUCCCCCCCUCCUUCCCUGCUCCCCAUGUGCUCACCACCACUAAGAAUUGGUUAUUUGUGAAUGUUACCAUUUUGUUAGUUUCAUCCUUUUAGCGAUACAGGGCUAAAAACAAACACUAAUCUUGCAUUCAAGAUUACUAUGUGCAUCUAGGAUGCACCCAUAGAAAAGAAACAUUAUUACAUUAGUUAAUUAUCAUUCAUAAUUUUCUGUUUUACCAAUGAGCUAAGAAAGGCAUGGCCAACAUUCUCAGUGGACUGGGGAAAUUUUGGACUGCACUUUGUCCUUAUUCCUGGAGUUUAAGACCACUGGCUUUUCAUGCCGUCAGAAGUGAUGUAGAUGUAGAGUGUUCCUUUUCAAAGGGAUGGGCUUCACCUUGUCACAACCACUAUUGCCAGCAUGAAAUAUUAAAAAGCUGUUGAGCAUAAUUCCAAAAUAAUCUAAUGCGUUUACUUUGAAAAGGUUUAGUAUAGAACAAAAAGUAUAUGGUUCAGAGAUUACUCAGAAAUGCAAAUGCCUGAGAACUUGCCCUUGGAUCUGCUGUCAUGUCCUUAUCGCAUCCAUGAUCUUAACUUUAUCUUAAACCAGAAUCAACUGUAUACUUCUUCUAAUGCCAAUAUUUAUUAUCUCGUGAUUUUUUCAGCAUUGCUACUUGCUUGAAAAACUUGAGGCACCUCUAAUUUAAGAACAUUCAUUGCACCAAAUUGCCUAAUCUGAGAGAAACACAUUUUUUUCUUUCCCUCCCUUCCUCACUCCCUUCCUUUCUUAAAAACACAUGCUUGGAAGUAAAAAUAUAUAUCAUUAAAAUUUCAAACAACUUUGAAGAUUUCAUGUUGAUACAUGAUGCAUACUGUCCUAUACCUUAAAAUUAGAACACAUCUAAGAAUAAAUUUAAACUGAUUUUAAUGUUUCUAAGCUUCUUGUAAUUUAUAGAUGAUAAAGUUCUGGCUAUGUAUAAUACAUAUUUCUCUCUCGAUAUUUAUAUGUAUGUGUGUCAAAGGAACAUAGAAAUAUUUCAUUAACAGUACCACUGAUACUGAGUAGACACACAUACACAUACACCAAACUUAAAAAUCUAUAUCCCAAAAUANNNNNNNNNNNNNNNNNNNNNNNNNNNNNNNNNNNNNNNNNNNNNNNNNNNNNNNNNNNNNNNNNNNNNNNNNNNNNNNUUAUACAUUUUGAAUAUGUGUAUCAGAAACAUCAAUUAUAUAUUUAUGUUAUACUAGUAUCUGCAUAUCUAUGUUUAUAAACAGAAAGAUAAAAUAUCAACAAAUGAGGUCUCACGAUAUAUGGAUUCUUAUUCUUCUGUUCUUGACAAGUAUUAUAUGCGCAAACAUGUAUGUGUCCUCAGACAUACAUGUCGUCUACCUAAUACUGUCCUUUACCAAAUUUACUUGUGUUUUUUCUAGGCAUGAGGUAGCAUUGCAUCUCGUUUGAAGUUAGAUGAAGAGAUGUGGCUUACAUGGCCAGUGGAAUGUGAGCAGAUGUAGUGCAUUUCACACACAGGUGGAAGGUCCAAAAGCCACUGUUUAGCUUAUGUCAUUAUCUGCACUAUGGCGACUGUCAAGCACGUAUUGGACUGACAUCUUUGUCAGGGUGGGUUUCUGAUUGGUUAGGAUACACAGACAUUUCUAAUACCCUGAAACAGGCAAGAUUGGCAGGAAAUAAACUUUUGUUGUACAAAAUUGCUGCAAUAUGUGUGGUGGUGGUUAACCCAGCACGAAAAUACAACCCAGCUUGAGUGUUGGCAAACUUCUCCUGUAAAAGGCCAGAGAGUAGGCAUUUUGGCUUUUAUGGCCUACAUAUGGUCUCUAUAAUAUAUUUCCUCAGUCUUUUUUCUUCUCAUAACAAACAAAAUUCAAAAUACAUUCUUAGGGGUACAUACAGCCCAUAUGAAAGUGGACUACAGUCCAGGCUAACCCAGUGGACUAUAGUUUUCUAACUGUCAUCUAAUGACUUCUUGAGAUAAAGACAGGAAAGUGAGGGCCAGGAACCAGGCCCUUGGUUAAGAGCACUUGCUUCCUUUGCACACCCUAGUUUAGUUCAGAGCAUCCACAUCUGGCUACUUACAAAAGCUGUAAUGCCACCUCCAUGGGGUCCCACACCAUUGUCUGAAUGCCACAAGCACCUGAAUGUACAUAGAUAUGGUAACAUGCACAGAGGCAAACACACACACACACACACACACACACACACACACACACACACACACACUGAGACACAGCACGUAGAUAUAUACAUACAAAUAAAAAUAAAUAAAAAAUCAGAAAUGAGGAUGUACCUAUUUAGAAAAAAGAGGACACACUUCUUGUUGCUGUCCAAACCACAGUUAACAUUUCAGUCCAAACAAUUUAUAACAGCAUAUUAAAAAAAAAACCUACGUAGAAAUUCUUCAUUGUCCAUUUCAUUUACUUUAUUUUUACAUAGAAUGUCAAAUUCAAAUGGAGCUCUGUGGUGACAGAGCAUAAAGUUUCUCAAGGUAUUUCCUUGAGCAUGAAGAUGCUACACACAAACAGACAGAUACAAGAUGGAGAGUUGCCUCAACAUAAAAAAUUACUCUACGUGCUACAUCCACAAGCUCAUUUUAGCCUUAUGUCUGUCGAUAUGAAAUGGAAUGCCCACUCCUUGGAGCACACUGCCUUCUUUGCUUUUGUCUUGUUAUUGAGGACCUAGAGUUUGAGGCAUUGCCAACACGGGAGGUCUGUGUCAACUUUUCGUGUUCUCCUAAGUAUCUGUGUUUGGCCUUAUGAUCUGGCUCUAGGUUUGUAAUAUAUCUGGACAGUUUGUUUGGUCAAUCAGGGAUUGCACUGCAUGUGUGAGUGAUGUCAAAUAACCUCUGAGAGCAUAACACUGUCAUAAUUAUCUUGGUGUCAUAAGAAGCACACCCUGGAGAUGGAAGGACUUCCUUGAGUUUUUUUCACCUUUCCAGAUCAGUUGUUUUAUACGACUGAAAAGAUUUGGUAGUAGCAGUUUCUGGAAACUGUCAGGGUUUUAAAAGCAACAAACAGGGCUCAUCAUGGAACUUGUUACCUGUGAUGGACGCCCUGCUCCAGUGGAUUGCUUCCCCUUCGUACACCAUCAUCAUCUUCCCAUGUUGAGCUUUUUAAACUCAAUUUUGGAACUGUACAGUGAGAAUCAAGUGUUUUUCGCUUACAGUUACAUCUGAAGGUUGUAACAAAAUCAAGAAAUGGUCCAUGGGACUACAACCCCAGUCCAUGGAAUGUGCCUCCCACACUCAGGGUGCCUUCCAUCCUAAAUUAAACCUUCCUGAAAACAUCCUUCUGGACACACUGAGGGGUGCGUGCUCUUGAUGAUUUUAAUCCUCUCAAGUUGGUCAGCAAGAUUAAUGAUCACACAUUCCAUGGAGACAAGAAAUAAUGGAGUCUAUCUUAACACCCUAUUACAGCAAUUUUUUCCUACUCUGCAGUAGAGAAAUACUUGCUGAGGAUUCUUUAGUCAAGAAAACAUCAGUGCAGAUGCUUUCUCACUUCAUAUGUAUAUAUUUCAAGAUUUUUACUAAAAGUCUGCUGUUCAACAAAUAACCAUGUCGGAAAAAGUCGUUCUGCAGAACAUCAUGUGGAGAGACAUAUUUGAUGAACACUGGUAGAAAUUGAUCAGCUAAUUUUGAGUGCUUCCUAUGGUUAUGAAAGUUGAUGUUAUAGAUGCACCAAGCCGCAUGUGCAAGACAUCCCACCUCCCAAUGUUGAAACAUCAUGUCAGUAAGUUGUUGAUGUUGCUGUUCUGGUUUUGAGACGGGGCUGCAUGUAGUCCAGGACCUGCUGGACUUACUAUGGAGCUAAGGAUAACUCUUAGUUACUAAUCCUCCUGCCUCCAUUUCUUGAAUCCUGGGACUACAAAGCAUGCAUUACUACACUUAGUUUAAGUGGUAGAACUAAACUAAGCACAGAACUAAACAGAGCACAGAACUCUGUUUUGUACUUAUGAGACAAGGACUCUACUAACUAAACUACACUGUCACUCCCAUGUUACAUAUAUAUUACAGUAUAAUUACAUUAUUCAUCCUUUCUCUUCCCUCCCUUCCUCCCAAACUUCCCAUAUAGCUUAUCCUCCUUUGCCUUCUUUCAAAUCCAUGGCAUCUUUUUAAUUGAUGGCUAUUGUAUGCACUAGCAUGCAAUAAAUUCAUGAAUUUAUGGACUGUGAAAAAUACAAACUGAUUGGGAAUCUUUUCUUCCUCCUAGGGAACAGUAGGCCUAUGUGGCCGUUGUUUUUGGAAUAUUACUCUAGUUUCAGAAGUUUUGGAAAGCUAUGAGUCAUUUAUGCUAUUCACUAAUAUAAUGAAUCUUAGUCUUAUUUAAAUGUUUGUUUUAAUAGUAUUUAAUCAAUGAUUUAAGAAUAAGCUAAAUAGGAAAUUACUAUAGUCUACAUUACUGUAACUUGCUAACAAUCUGAGCUCAUGCCAACAUUAUAAAUUCUAUUGAAUGGUCUAGUUUGAAAAGCUCUGUUCUGGAACUAGUCUAGUCCCAAGAAGAGCACUGGGGAUAAUGGGCUUUUGAGGACAUAGAUUAGAAAUGAGUGGAGCUGUAAGCAACUGUAAAAAAAUAAUAAUAAUUAAUAAUAAUAAUUCAAGGCUGGGUCUGAAAUUGAUGGAUCUGUGGCAUCAUGAGCAAUAAUAAUCAGAACAGCUUGAUGAGUGUACACACAUGCUAAAUGUCUGACAGCUUCUUCAUUCAACAAUGUUCACAGCCGGACAAGAAAGGAUGCACUAUAUCUUUUCUGCAAAAAGGAAGAAAGCUUUAGCGUUGAAGAAACUUGCUCAACAUCACCAUGUUUAUAGCAGGUAGCACCGUGAAGGUAAUAUUCUACUUCAGUGAUGGUUGAUUGAGUCCUGGACUGCAUGGCUGCUGACAAACUGAGCUUAAUAAAGUAUGCAAAUGAAUUUUCAGUAGUUUUAAAGCUAUACUUCAUGUUUCCAGUUUUCAAACAGUUCCAUGAAAAUCAAUUAACUUUUUUAAUUAAAAAAAAAGAUGAUGUACUUACACAGCAUCAGGCAUAAUACUGGUGCAUCACAAAAACACUCUGAUACACUCAUCAAUUCAGUGACGGAAGUACAUAUUACCAUUACUAAUAUAAAAAUGUCAAGCUCAGAGAGGUAAAGAAAGUUGCUUCAGAUACAGAAAGUAUGUGACAAAGAUACAGUAUCAGCAGAAAGUAGCUAUGCAACUUCUGUUCUGAUAUUUUCUUUGAGGAAGAUUGAAUAAUAGUAGGAUUAUGACAAUAACAACAGAUAAUAUCUUAGAUUUUACCCAUGACAAACACUGUUUAAACACCCUUUGUACUUCCAUAAGUGUCGUGUGUGAAAACAUUCUUUUACUACUAUUCUGCAAAUGAAGUAAAUAAGUAUAAAAGGUAUUAAAUAAUUAUCCACCUAAUUGACAGCUAUAAAAAGCCAAUAGUGAAGUAGUCUGCAUUGGACAAAAUCUAAGGUCAUACCACAAUAUUAUAUUUUAAAAAUAAACAAAGACCAAAUGCUUACAAAAGUCAUAAGAUUUGGAAAAACAUUUCCAUAUUCUGGGUACUCUGCCUAAAUCCCAUCUCCAAUUUAGUACUCAAAAGAGGUCAGCAACACUAUGGGAUGGAUAUACUAUGCCAAAAGUCCUUUAGGGAAACAAAUAUUACCUAGAGUCAGAAAUGCAGAGAAUGGAGCAUACAGCCUCAAAGUUCUCCCGAAAUUGAACACUGAAUAUUUUUCAUUUAGUCAGUAAAAGUCAUAAUCUUAUUGAGAUUUCUCUAAGGUAGUUACAGCCUUUAUAAAAUGGUGGGAUUUAUUUAAAACGUGUGUGCACUCAGCCAUAAAAAUAAAGUGGAGAACAAUGCAAAUCAAAUUGUAUAAUUUGUUCAAAUGCAUGUCUCUUUGGUCACACCUUCUUAAUGAAUAGAAGCAGACAAGCAAGGCAGCUAAUAAGUUAUUUUAAUAGGGUGAUGUAACGGUGUGUGAACUGUUACCUCCUGGGAGAGUGACUGACAGAUUACUGGUCUCAUUACUGUGUAGAUUAGUCUCAGGAAUUCAUUAGUGCCCAGUGUGGCAGCUCUGCUCAGUGCCCUUAAUUUGAAGAAAGAGACAGGAGGCCGGUGUGCCCAUGCAACUCCAAAGGCAGAUGAUCUGGAGUUGAAGGCUUUUAGAGCAAAGGACUCUCCUGAGAAGAUGGCAAUUAUUCAUGGUUUUUUUUUUUUUUUUCAAGCCAGUGGUGACAGCUCUCUUUCCUUUAGUCUGUAUCAGUACAUUAAAAAAAAAUUGCUACAGGCAACUGGAUUUCAUGUUACCUUGGAAGAAAGAGAGCUAAUGCAGAGUAUUUCAAAGGUAUUAUCUGUAUGGCUGAGCUUAAGUAUAAACAAUUUGACUUUACAGAAGGAUGAAGGCAAACAGAAAUAGCAUGGAAAAGUGUAAUUUAUCAGUAACUCUAGCAUUUAAUUUUUAUGUAAUAGGUUUGCCCCCCAUCGCCAAAGCUUUGUAUUGAUUGAUUUUAAAAUCUUUUAUAUGGUAUUUCUACCACAGGUAGGAAAACCAUUUCUCUGAAGACGCUUUAUAACAAACAACAAUAUUCUAAUCGUUGGGACAGGAAACAGAAUCCUCAAAACAUUGCUCACAUUCUAUUAAAAAGAAACUUUCCAACUUUGACUCUAGCUCUUAGAAAUAAAUUCAUAUUACAAGCAACAAUACCCAUGUAGGAUUUUAUAUCUGAAACCAAAUGUUGCCAUUCCUAUGAUAUAAUAUUUCUUUUUUGUUCUAUUCUAAUCUCUUAAUUCAUAGCACUGUAUAGUAUCAUAUUUCUUUUUAAACUUAUAUUGUUCAAACUGUUGAAUCUAUUUUAAAAUUAGUUUCAAUUUUAUUUUACCAUUAUCAAUAAUACAGGAUAUGUACAUUGAAAAACUACAGAAUAACCAUCUCAGGGGAAAAUUUUUUCAUGUUAAGUUUUGUAAGAAAAAUUACUGUGUACUUACACAGCAUCAGGCAUAAUAUUGGUCCUUCACAAAAACACUCUGACACACUCAUCAAUCCAGUGAUGGAAGUACAUAUUACUAUUUCCAUUACUAAUAUAAAAACAUCAAGCUCAGAGAGGUAAAGAAAGUUGCUUCAGAUACAGAAAGUAUGUGACAGAGAUACAGUAUCAGCAGAAAGUAGCCAUGCAAUAAAUAUUGUUUGAACAAAUAGUGCAUUAUUUGCACACACAAUCUUGGCUGCAAAGGUGGUUUAAUUUUGUUAAUAACAGUGACUUCUCCCAGCAAUAACUGCAGAACAGAAGACACAGGCAGGCUGGUUAUCAACAUUCGCUCCUGGGAUCUAGUGAGAGCAUCCGUGUGCCCUCUCUCAAUCAUCCUAUAGACACAGGGCCACUCACACUAUGGUUGUGGGCUCUGGAUAUACUAUCUGAGCUCAUAGGUUGCCUUCUAUUCUUAUUAGCUGCAUAUAAAGCUUGAUUAAAAUUUCUGUGCAUAUUGUUUAAAUCUCUUAUAUCAGUAAAUAAUAUAUAAUAUAGACGUGUUUGGAAGAUUACAAAUUUUAGCAAUUUAGAACAAUUUCUGACAUCUGGCACACAGUCAAUCAUUGUCAGCCAUUAGCACAGUUAUACUGAGCAUGUUUAUGACUCUAUUCGGCUGGUUCUUCUUCAAGAGACUGGAACAGUGACUUCAAACUCUUACGUAUUUUGUAGUUGGGAACCCAGGCUUCUUUUUCUUUGGCUUUACUUUUAAGAAUUCAAAUUCUCAAGAUGGUAUUCUCUUUGUUUUUAAGAGAACCUGCCAUUGACCUCCUCUCAGACUUACAAAGAAAUAGGUCCCUAACUCUCCCUCACAAGGGAGUACCUGAAGAUCAGCCCUGGAUAUGGCUGUGUUGCUAUCUUUGCAGCUGAAUGGCAGUUUACAGCACUCAAGUCUGAGUCUCACUUUAUUAGUGUCCAAGGGUAACCACUCUAGCACAUCUUUCAGAAGAUGUUGAGUUAGAACAAUAAGGUCAAGAGCAGAUGAGUCAGCUUGGUUGUAUAGAUUGAGUGACUUAAAGCAAGCUAGAGUGGGACGUUCACAAAGAUUUUCUAUAGAAACAUACUCUUGUUGUUUUCCUUUUCAACUCUCCUGGCAAUUGUUGGUGAUAAAUGGAUGCUCGGAGGUUAUCUUUGACUUUUCUUUCUCAUUGGAUACUCCAUCAUGAUGUCAGCCAGUCUCUUUCAUGAAGGUAGGUAUGUAGUUAUUGGCCAGAGUUUAUCAGUUCUAUUUCUAUUCAUCUCAAACCCUGUUAACAGUCUAUGUGUUCUUAAAAGGAACAAAUAAGGUAUGGCCAGAAAUUAAGCAUGAGCCUAAAAGUAGCAGAGUAACAGCAAAGAAGUUGCCAGUACUGGGAUGACCACCAAAAUUGACUUGCCUGCUCUGCAUUGCCCCUGUGCUCACAGAGCAAAAGGAAGUCAUGUGUCCUUGCUUCGGAAAGCUGGGGUACAAAUCAAUAUCUGCUUGUUUUUAUUAUAAGCUAAAACAUUAAUGCCUAUAUUUACUUAUUAUUUAAUUGCAUUUAGUUAUCAAUUAAUGAGUAUCGCAUAAUAAUUAAAAAUUUGUGUCAAAAUAUGACUUCAAUGACAAGUAAAAAUUGUUUUUACCAGCACAAGAUGACAAUGCAAUAUUUUUCAUUUUGUUGGUAUAUUAGUCAGGAUUCUCUAGAGAGACAAAACACACACACACACACACACACACACACACGAUAUGUUAGAAUGUCUUAUACUGUGUGGCCCACCUAGUCAAGCAAUGGCUGUCUAGCAAUGGAAUGUCCAAGAAUCCAGGAGUUAGUUGACCAGUCCAUGAGUCUGAAUGUCUCACCUGGUCUGCAAUAUAUGCCAUAAUCUCAAAGUAGAUUUUAUUGCCAAUGAAGGAAUGGAGUUGAUCAUGAAAGUGAGAGUUAACAGGCAUGGAGAGCAAUCUUUCUUUGCCCAUGCCCUUUAUAUAGGCUGUCAGAAGAAAGUGGCUCUUUCCACUUAGAAAGAUCUGGAUCCAGAUUAGAAGUGAGUCUCCCCACUUCAAAUCAUUUAACUAAAGAGGUAUACCCAGACAUUUUGGUUUUAGUUAAUUUCUAUUGUAGUUGACAACCAAGAGCAGCUGUUACAAGUUCAGCCCUUGUCAACUUGAUACACAAUCAUAUUUUCUUACAUUAUGCCUAAUUUCCAAAUGAAAACAAUAACCAGAUCAUAAUUAUAUCUAAUACGGUGUAACUGGCCCUUGUAUAACAGCAAACAUGAUUAUGGACCUCUGUUCUGUCCUCUGUUGAAACAUGGUGGCACAUUCUUACUCCAAUUGUAGCACUGUAAAAAUAGAGACAGGCAGACACCGAGGUGUGCUGGCGUCAGCCUGCUCUAUUAAGUGAGCCUCAGCUCCCACCAGAGAUUUUCUCAAAGAACAUGGUGAGGGGGGAAAAGUGGACAGCCUUUGAAGGACACCAGAGAUUGAUCUCUGGCCCUGACCUACACCUGACCUACAAACACACAUACACACAAACACACACACGCUCGCAUACACACACAUGCACCCAUGCACAAGCAUGUACAUAUAUGUUCACAAAGCCUCACACAUGCUUAUAAAUGCUCACACACUCAUUCAUGUAUAUUCAGAUAGACAACCAUGCAUGUACACACACAUGCAUACACACACAUACAUGUACACAGAUAACUUAUGCAUACACACAGGCAUACACACUUGUAGGCACAUGCACAAACCUAGUGAAUGAAUAUCUUUUACUACUAUGUAUCUUUAGAAAUAAAGUCUUAACUUCAGUGUAUAAAAAAAUUUUAAGUUGCUCAGAUCCUAUUUGUUUUGUGUAAUUUUUGUGCAUGUGAUACAACACAGUAUUUAUAUCUUCACAGGAGUUAUAUAUUAUGAACAUCUUACUUAACUCUAUUUACUGACAAUGUAUCAUACAAUGUUCUAGGCAGUGGGAAACAGCAAAUCUUUUUUAAAAAAACUGAUUCAUGCUUAACAAUCAGUAAAUUCUGUAAAACUAUGAAUGUCUAAUGUUUUUAGACUGUACAGAAGAACAACUAGAAUUAUACUCUCUGAAGUUGCAUAUAGGAUAUUUCAUUAUAACUCUAAGUAAUUGGUGUUAUUUUAAGUUUAUUUUGAUACUUUUCUAAAAAUGAAAAAUGACACCGCUGUUUGUGGGUUAGUAGCUGGUGGGAAUUCUUUUUAGAGCUGCCUGUGUCAUUUGUCUUAAUCAGACAGCAAAUAAGCCUCCAUUUCUUCAGGACAUUAAGAUCACUGUGUGUCAUUUCUAUUCUGGCCCCUGGAAUUUCAAAAAAUAUAGCUUAAGCUCUAUGUUUUUCCAUCCAUGUGGAAAAAUAUGCAGAAUUGCUAAAUUCUAUGUUUCAAUUCAAGUACUUAAAACAAUACGUUUAAAAAAAAAAGCUGGUAUAACUUCACAGAAAGCGAGGUUAUGUUAUUUGUGUGUUUUAGCAGAGAAAUGUAAAAUGUGUGAAAGUUCUGUAACAUAGAAGCAACUAGUGUUCACCCUUAAGCAUAUUGCUGACCUCUCUGAGGCUGUAGUGUUGCUCUGCCAAGUACAUAUAUGAAUAAUCAGUAUGUAUUAUAAGUGUAUACACACAUACAUAUGUAUGUAAGAAAAGAAAUGGUGUUUAUUGAAAAAGUAGUUAUCUUUUUAAAGCUUAUGUGCAUGGCUUACAAAAAUUAGUGAAAGAUCAAAGUCUACCCAGAAUGAUAUCAUAACAAGGUAGUAUGAAAUCAGAUCAUGUGACAAGCUGAAUAUUUACACAAGGGGGUCAGAAAGCAGCUGGCUCUAUGUAAACUAAAGAAAUCCAACAAACAUUCUAAGACAGCUCUCAUUUUUUUUAUGAUUUUUUAAAUUUUCAAUACAGGGUUUCUCUGUAUAGCCCCGGCUGUCCUGGAACUCAUUCUGUAGACCAGGCUGGCCUCGAACUUAGAAAUCCGCCUGCCUCUGCCUCCUAAGUGCUUGGAUUAAAGGCGUGCGCCACCUCUGCCAUGGUUUGGUUUUUUUGUUUUGUUUUGUUUUGUUUUGUUUUGUUUUGUUUUGUUUUGUUUUGUAGUUCUCAUUCUUGAUCUGCAAUGGACAUAGCAUCAAGCAUCAUUUUUAAGUAAUGUACUAUCAUUUUUACAAAUUUUACAAAUUACAGAUAUUACAAAUAUUUUCUAAAACACAAGAUCCUAAUUUGGGUGUGUGUGUGUUCCCUAAAAAUAACAAUUUUUGUUAUCCUGCAUAAAAUUAAAAAUAUGUUUAUUUCAUCUUUGUGACUUAUUUUCUUGAAAAUUUCAUUUUAAAUUCAGUAUAAACAACUUAUCUCUAUUAUUUAGAGGAAACAGUUUUACAUUUAAUAAAAACAACAUUGGGCUAUUUAUACAUGUUUUAUUUUUAGUCUGAGGAUCCGAGCAAUUUUUACUUUCUUAGCCAUUGAAAUCAAGACUCUUUUGCUGAACAUAUGACACACUUUGGUCAUGGGCUUUAGAUAAACCUAGCAGGAACUGACUUGGAAGUCUUUUCCAUGGCCACCUCCAUAGUAUAGAAAAGAUGCUGUGCCUGCUGCCAAAAGAAAAUUAAUCAGAUCCUUCCCAGCUGUAAGAUUUUGAACCGAAACAAUAUAUCCUCCCAAAAUACAGUAGUGACACUUACAUUUUUGGUAGGCAACAGAGGUAUAAUUUGACUUUUUUUUUAAUUAGGUACUUUCUUCAUUAACAUCUCCAGUGCUAUCCCAAAAGUCCCCCACACCCUCCCGUCCCACUCCCCCCACCCCCACCCCACUCCCACUUCCCGGUCCUGGCGUUCCCCUGCAAUGAGGCAUAUAAAGUCUGCACAACCAAUGGGCUCUGUUUCCACUGAUAGUCGACCAGGCCAUCCUCUGAUACAUAUGCAGCUAGAGACACGAGCUCCGGGGGGCACUGGUUAGUUCAUAUUGUUGUUCCACCCAUAGGGUNNNNNNNNNNNNNNNNNNNNNNNNNNNNNNNNNNNNNNNNNNNNNNNNNNNNNNNNNNNNNNNNNNNNNNNNNNNNNNNNNNNNNNNNNNNNNNAAGAGGGAAAUUGGUCUGAAGUUCCCUAUCUUUGUUGGGUCUUUCUGUGGUUUAGGUAUCAGAGUAAUUGUGGCGUCAUAGAAUGAGUUGGGUAGAGUACCUUCUACUUCUAUUUUGUGUUGGGGUGCCCAGGACUGGGUGAGGUGGGAGUGCUGGGUUCUGAUGAUGGUGAGUGGUCUUGCUUUCUGUUAGUAAGAUUCUUAAGUUUGCCUUUCGCCAUCUGGUACUCUCCGGAGCUAGUUGUUAUAGUUGUCUCUGGUUAGAGCUUGUUCUUCUUGUGAUUCAGUUAGCCUCUAUCAGCAGACCUGGUAGCCUAGCUCUGUCCUGAGUUUCAGUGGUCUGAGCACUCUCUGCAGGCAAGAUCUUCUCUUGCAGGGAAGGUGCACAGAUAUCUGGAGUUCAGACCUGCCUCCUGGCAGAAGAUGAAGGCUUGAAACAGGGCCUGUUAGCUUCUGUAGUCCACACCCUUACCUGCUCAGACUAGUCUUGGAGGGAUCAAGGAACCAAGAUGGCUUCCCUAGGUGCUCUGGCAAAGCCCUCCUGGGCAGGGAGGUCACCUGUCCUCUGGCAGGGAAGGUGCCGGAUGUCUGGAGCCUGAAAUGGGGUUUGCUUCAGAAGCUGUCCUCUAGGGACCUUGGGGGUGUCCUCUGACUCCUAGCCCAGGUAACCUGGUGCUGGCGCUGACUAGAAGGGACUUGUGACCCUGGUCAGGCCGGGUUUACUGCUUCCCUAAUGCUGUCUCAGGUCCCUCGAGAUUGGAAUGGAACAGAAGUUGCGUUCCACUCACUGGUGGUCCUAAGAUCACGUGGAGUCAGAUCUUUUUAUGGAUGGUUGUGAGCCACCAUGUGGUUGCUGGGAUUUGAACUCCGAACCUUAGGAAGAGCAGUCAGGUGCUUUUACCCACUGAGCCAUCUCCCCAGCCUGAGAGUCCUCAAAGGACCUUGGGGGUGUCUGCCAACUCCGCGCCCAAGGUGACCCAGUGCUGGCGUCGACCAGAAGGGACUCGUGACCCUGGUCAGGCCGGGUUUUCUGCUUCUCUAAUGCUGGUCCCACGCGAUUGGAAUGGAACAGAAAGAUGUGUUCCACUCACCGGUGGUCCUAAGAUCACAUGAAGAGUCCUCUUUGGACCUUGGGGGUGUCCGCCGACUCCACGCCCAAGGUGACCCGGUGCUGGCCCCGACUGGAAGGGACUUGUCGGUAUAAUUUGAUUUAAGGUGCAUUUAAUAGGAAUCUGUGACUGGUACUGUAAAUCUAUUGAACUAUCCAUGGCUGGUGAGGUCACAGAACCUCAUGAAGAAACUACUAUUAUUCUAAAGCAGCAUAAUUUCUAGCUCAAGUAUAAACAUAUUUUCUUAUGCUCACAGGUAAGUAUAGACUUCACACCUCAUCAAAGCAGCUUAUUUUUUGCAGUGUGUGUCAUAUGGAGACUCUACCAUGGAAACCCACAAGUGGUUACAAUGCUGAGAACUACUGACUAACUGUAGGUUGUCCGUCCCCAGAUGAUACAUCUACAGCACAACCCUUGCACCUAAGGUUCAUUAGGAAAGACAGUAGAAAAAUGUAUGAGCCAGAGGGCCAGACAUUUACUGCAAGAUAGCAUCUGCGAAAGGUGAACUGCUACCAUGAAAUCACAACUGUAGGGCAACAAGACCUGUAAAGUGGUUGACAUGACUCCGUAGAUGGGGCAACUCUUCUCCUAGAUAAGAAGCUAGAGGCAGUUAAUCGCAAGCAAAGACCAGCAGACAUGUCUUCUCUAUGGACAAGGCUCCUGAUUGGUCGUCUAAUUUCAAGUGGUCAGCUCUAAACAUACAUAAUAGGAACAAUGCUAAUGAACCCAGGAGAGAGAGGGGUGGAGGGGUGAAAGGGGAGGGGGGAGGCAGAGUCAAGGGAGAGGGAGAAUGUAUGUGUGUGUGUGUUUAUCUGUAAUAAAAAUGAUUAAAGAUGAAAUCAUAAGUUUUACAGGAAGUGGAGGGAACACAGAGUUGGCUGGGGAAGAGAUGAAUGAAAUAAUGUAAAUACAGUACUGAGGUAAGAAAUUCAUAUAUAUAUAUAUUAUGAAUAGAUAGAUAGAUAGAUAGAUAGAUAGAUAGAUAGAUAGAUAGAUAGAUAGAUAGAUAGAUAUGACACUCUCAAAUAGAAAUUUCCCAAUUCAUAUGCUAACGGACUGCCUAUACCAUUUAGUUCUUUUUCUCAAGAUGAGAAGCAGCAGCAACAGCAGCCCACAAUGGUGUAAGAACCACAUAAGGUUGCCUUUAAUUUCUUAGAAGAAAUGCAAUUGCUUCUUUAUCACAUACAACUUUCCAGAGUCUUGCUCAUUCAUAUACAGUAAACUCCAGUGGUUUUUUUUCUUUUUUUCUUCAUUUUUUUUAAUUGUUAAAAAAUUCAUAGUUAUAGACUUCUUUAUGCCUACUGUACAAACAUCAGCGUGUCGAGAAAGUCAAGUGAGGUUUAAUUAUAGCUUGGAUGAUGUUCACCACAUAUUUUGUUAUCAGCUCUUCUACAAUUUUAGUUUGCAUUUAAGCAUACCCACAAAAUUGUUAACAAAAGCACAGAUUCUAGUUAACAUUAUAAUAAAGUUAUAUGUCGUUUCGUUUUAGGGGAUAUGCUGGCUAUUGAGCCCAGGUUUUUCACAUGCUAAGCAAAUGUUUUUCCAUGGAGCUACAUGAUCAGCCCAGCAUCUGAAUUUUCAGUGGGCAGUUUUGUUGUAGUACAUUUGUUUGUGUUACUAUGAGAUGAAUCUUCAGAGCACUUUCUUCUUGCAAAACUGAAGUUCUCUCUCUAUGAAACAACUGCUAUUUUCACUGUCCACCAUUCCACUUCCUAAAACUUUGACCACUUUAGGUGGUUAUUGUUUUGAAACCUCACACUUUGUCAUUUUGUGAUUGGCUAUUUCAAUAGUUUGUCAAGGCUCAGACUUGCAGCAUGUGACAUGAAGUUCUUCAUUUUUAAAGCAAAAUAAUAUUAAUUGUGCAAACAUACUAGUUUGUUUAGCCCAUUCAUUUGUUGGUAGUUAUUUCAGAUGAUUCUACUUCUUGACUUUUGUACUACAUAGUGGUGCUGGCUGCAGUGAUGUAAACUGUUUAGGACAUGUUUGCAAUUAUCAGAGGUACUGUGUUAUGUAACAGAAUUUUUAUGGAGAGAAAAAAAACACACUUGUAACCACAGCUGGCUAUACUGCUUUGGCUCCUGGUGGGUCACAAACAUGCACUUUCCCAGGAGCUAUCUGAAUUCAUGAAUGAAAGACACACACACACACACACACACACACACACACACACACACACACACACACACACACUUGUUGCAGUAAAUCUCCAACCCCAAUAAGCCCUGCAAAGAACACACAACUCAGUUGUUAUAUUUAUAAGCUGCAUACCUAGAUUGGGCAGAUAUACCACUAUACUACUAUAUUCCCCAGCUGUAAGAUCUCUUGCUACUUGUGGCUCCUCCACGUGGUUCGGCUCCAUCUAUUUUAUACCUCCUCUUCUUUCAUCUUCCUCUGUCUCCUCAUCUCUCCCUCCUCCUUCCUCUCUCCCCUCUCUAAAACCUCCAGCCCCACCUUUCCCUUCCACUGCCCAAUCACAGGCUCUAGCCUUUAUUCCAUUAGUUAAAAUGGGGAGAAGGUUCACCUAAAACCGCCUGGAUAUGUGAUCCACUCCUCCUCGGGCAGCCCCUCUUGAGGUAGCAGAAUUAGCAUCAAAAUACAAACAGCAACAGGGCAAUUCAACACAAACACACACACACACACACACACACACACACACACACACACACACACACACACACACGUUUGUUUAGGAAUACAACCUGUUUAGUCUGUUCUGAAAUGCCACAGUGUAGUUAAAUCAUUAAACUUAGCCUUGGUGGGAGGAAUGGUGCUGAAGCUUUAUCGGUCUUUAGCUCUAGUAUUUAUCUUUUUUAUUACGUGUUUGCAUAAUGUUAGCAUGUAUUUUCGUCUCUCCUCUUUUAAGGAUUUUAUUAGGUGGAUGUUGGUCUGCUUAGUUUGUUCCUUAUCCUAUCAUCUUUUUCCUUCUCUGUUUUAUUUUUUGGUGGGUUUCUUUCAUAUGAUUUUCUGUCCUUUGUACUACAUUUUUAAUCUUGGCAGUCAUAACUAAAUUUUGGGUUCUCAUUAUUCUGUUUCUUUGGUUAUAUGGGAUUUUCUUUAAAUCUUAUUUUCAAGAUGCUUUUAAGAAUGUUUUAAAUGUUUGUUUUUGUUUUCUCAAUUAGUUCAGCUUCCUCUAAGGUGAAUUUCUGUCUUCCAAGUUUUGGUGUUUCCUUUUUAAUUUUGUCAGUUUUCCUCCAAUGGUAAAGACUUCUGUCUUUUAUUAAGGAAGAAGGACUGAGGAGAUGGACGUAUAUUUCUGCUUUGUUGUGUUAACAGGACAGUUUUCCUACAGACUUUCUCCUCAACCUACAGGAAUCUCUUCCUGAGAUGGGCACACAAUGUUGACUAGCAAGUCCUUUAGGAUGGAUGAGGCGAGCUUCUGUUUGGUUUGAAAACACUCCAGAGAUUUUAGGUUUCCACUUUUGCACCAACACAUUUAGAAGUUAGACUUUUCUGGACUUAUUUGAUUUCUGUAGAUAUAAUUCUCACAUGUAUUUGAUGGGACAGAAUGCUGCCUUUCUGAGACAUGUGUUCAAGUUGGAGACUGGCUUGAACUUUGUCAUAUUCAGCUUCAAAUAAACUGUUCCUAGCUUCAUAUUUUACACCUCCCCUAACUUUUGCCAACUGAUUUUGUACUCAGAGUUCUCUGGGAUUUGAAAGGCAGAUUAACUGCCUUCUAUACAGAUCUCUAUUGUUUGUUGAUUCCUCUUCAUAUAUAAACACUUUGCCCCUUCUUAGAAUUGGGAACAAAACACCCAUGGAAGGAGUUACAGAGACAAAGUUUGGAGCUGUGACGAAAGGAUGGACCAUCUAGAGACUGCCAUAUCUGGGGAUCCAUCCCAUAAUCAGCUUCCAAACGCUGACACCAUUGCAAAAAAAAAUAAAUGUAAAGUAUAAAAUAUAAAAUAUGAUAUAUGAUAUAUAUGUUUUUUAUUUAUUUACAUUUCAAAUGUUAUCCCCCUUCCCAGUUUCUCCUCCCCAAACUCCCUAUCACAUAUCCCACUCACCCACCCACUUGGGCCUCACUGCCCUAGAAUUCCCCUAUGCUGGGGUUAAAGCCUCCACAGGGCCCAUUGAUGUCAGAUAAAGUCAUCCUCUGCUACCUACGCAGCUGGAGCCAUGGGUCCCUCCAUGUGUACCCUUUGUUUGGUGGUUUAGUCCCUGGGAGCUCUUGAGGGGUCUGGUUGGAUGAUAUUGUUCUUCCUAUGGAGUUGCAAACCUCUUCAGCUCUUUCAGUCUUUCCUCUAACUCCUUCAUUGGGGUCCCCGUGUUCAGUCAGAUGGUUAGCUAUGAACAUCCGAGUCUGUAUUGGUUAGACUCUUGCUGAGCCUCUCAGGGGACAGUCAUAUCAGGUUCUUGUCAGCAAGCAUUUCUUGGCAUCUGGUUUUGGUGUCUGCAAAUGCAAUGAAUCCCUAUGUGGGGCAGUUUCGGGAUGGCCAUUCCUUCUGUCUCUGCUCUACUCUUUGUCCCUUCAUUUACUUUAGACAGGAACAAUUCUGUGUUAAUACUUUUGAGUUAGGUGGGUGGCACCAUCCCUCAACUGAGGCCGAUCCCUAACAUCUGGAUCUCCCUCUUUACAGGUUCUCCCUCCCCUCUGUUGGGUAUUUCAGAUACUGUCAUCCCUGUUGGGUCCUGGCAUCUGGGACUUUCUAGUUGCUACCCCCAGUUCCCCAUCCCCCACUACUACACACCUUCAUUCAAUUUCUUGACUCUUUAUACUUCUUCCUCCAUCUCCUCCCAUACCUCAUCCUGUCACCCUCCCCCCUGCCAGAUCCCACCCACAUUCUAUUUACCAUGAUUAUUUUGUUUCCUUUUCUAAGUAGGAAUGAAGCGUUCACAUGUUGGUCUUCCUUCUUGAGCUUCAUAUGGUCUGAGUUGUAUCGUGUAUAUUCUGACCUUUUUGCCUAAUAUCUACUUAUCAGUGAGUACAUACCAUGUGUGUUCCUCUGUGACUGAGAUAUCUCACUCAGGAUCACAUUUUCUAGUUCCACCCAUUUGCCUGUGAAUUUCAUAAAGUCAUUGUUUUGAGUAAUUAGUAUUUGAGUUGAGUAGAACUCCAUUGUGUAAAUAUACCACAUUUUCUGUAUCCAUUCCUCUGUUGAGGGACAUCUGGGUUGUUUCCAUCUUCUGGCUAUUAUAAAUAAGGCUUCAAUGAACAUAGUGGAGCAUGUGUCUGAUUCUUCAUUCUUUUUGUGUCAAAUGACCUUUUCUACACUUAUAUUCCAAGAAUUAAUUAGAAAUCUAAACUUCAGGAAUGCAUAAGAGUUGUCUUAUCUGUUAGGCAUUUUCCUUUGUGCUCUUUUUUAUUAUCUUCUGUCUCCCACCUAUGUUUCUCUCUGAUACAGGGAACUGGCUCUGCCAAUAAUAUUUUGUUACCAACUGCAGGCCAGCAGUCAUCUAAGUUUAACCAUUAAGAAAUACCAGAGAGAUACUGGCAAGAGGGGAAAAUAGAAAAGGUAACCAUACCUCCACCUGCUUCUGCCUUGGGCAAUAUCUCUAAAAUUCCAGCCCUUCUUUUAUUUCGACUAACUCGAUACCUUCUGAACAUACACACCCCCUAACUUGUGAUUCCAAUUCUUGCCUAAUAACGUUUGAUUCUAGGAUCAGCCAACAAUAUCUUGUCCCUGGGUCCCUACAGCCAUAAUGGUGCUAAUAGCAUUAAAUGUUGUUUACUGAUAUGACUUUUUACAUCACAUCAUACUUUUUUUUUAAUAGAAAAAAUUCUAUAAAAGUAUUCACCUUGAUUCUUCUUACUGUUUUCUGAAAGACAUAGACAUAAGGAAUAUUCUAUGUAUCUAUACUUUUAGUUUAAUGGGUUCUUGGAAGAAAUGGAAGAUAUAUGCAUAUGGCCAGUCUGUCAACAUGAACUGAAAAAUGAAUGUUUUGUGGAUUUGGGUGUAUAUUGUCAAAACCUUUGUAUCAUAUUUUAUUUCCACUAACAGCAGAUGGUGUUCAUAUCUGACAUCUGCAUAGCUCAGUGUGUGAUACUGGUAUCAUCAGUGUAUCUGACUUUUACAUAGGAACAUGAAUUAAAAUAUAUGUAUGGUCUCUUGACUCAGAACAUUUAAUUUUUCUUCCUAACAGCUGGAAAUAAUCUAUGAGGACAGAAAGACAGUAGCACAUGAAUAAGUUUGGGUUCAAAGUGGCUAGUCAGUUACUCAAGACUUCAGAUUCCCAACACUAAGGGAGAUACAAAAAAAAAGCUGCUUUCCUGGCGGCUGCUCUAAAGUCUAAAGAGGAAAGGUUUUUUGUUUUUUUGUUUUUUGUUUUUUUUUGUUUGUUUUGUUUUUUCUGGCUAAAAGUAAAGUUCUUCCCAGAAAAAGAAAGUUGUCACUGGGAUCCACGUUUUCAAAGCAUUACUCAGAAAACAGUAUGUCUCACAAAAGGCUGAGUCACAAUCAUCUACCUCUGCUUUUAAGAUUAAUAAACAGUCAGGAAAAGUUAUAUCUUACAUGGAUUUCCAUAGAGAGAAUGAGAAACAGAGUAAAAGUACAGGAUUUCGAAUGUGACAUGUUGCCUUUUCUCAACUGUAUGGAACAAAGUCUUAGCUGCAUCCCUUACACAAAUCACAUCAAUUUAUCAAUUUGAAGUCUUGGUUGGCCACGGCUUAUGGCAUUUUAUGGUGGCUUUGUAAUCAUGCUUUUGGUCUUUGUAAUUUCAUUAAUUAACACUGGUCAUCUACACAGUCAGGAUGUCCUCUAUGACCCCAGCUUCUUCCACCUGCAGAGAUGGUAUACUUUUUCAUCACCCUAUUGCUUUGCUCUAGUGUGCAUUCCUUCCAUUAUUUAGCAUCAACUUUUUUUAUCUUGAAAUUGAAGAUAAUUGGGUCCAGAAUUAUCCAUCCCUUGCUGAGCAAAGCAUAUGGCUAAGAGAGAUCGCGUCUCUUGAAAUCAAUGUAGCUAGUCCUUAUGUUCACAAAAAUCUCCUAUUAGGCUGCAUGACCUUUUCUCACAACAAUGUUAUUUUAUCUUAUGUGUUGAUUUAAAGAGUUAAAGUCUCUCUCCUCCUCCUCUCCCACCCUCUGUUCUAACUUUUCUUUCUUCCCUUUCUCCCAUUAUUCAAGAAGAUAAAAAAGUGGAAGAGUCACAGAUCUUAGCUUCAUCAUCAAUGACUGUAUUCACAGCUCUCACAUUCCAUGUGGUCUAUGAACAGGUUACUGUAGAACAUAAAGGGGCUUUUAGUUUUAUAGGGUGACCAAUUAGUGUUCUGACUAAACUCAGAUGUUUUGGUGACUUGUUGGGGUGGAGCCCAAUAAUUUUGCCAAGAUGGGAUCCACACGAGUGAUCCUUUUGGUCGAUACUCAGCCCCAAAUCACAGUCAAGUGGAAACAAAGGGCACUCAGCAGACAGAGAACUCCAAUUAGAAUAAUUAGGAGAAGUAAUUUGCACAGCUUCAAAAAAAAGAAGAAGGAAGAACUCUUGACAUUGCAAUUUAUCUAAUGAAUAUCUUAUUGAAGACCACUUGUAAUGUGAAAUUAAAAGCCAAAAAAAAAAAUGAGUACAUUAGGCCAAUAGAUGCCCCUGGAGCUCCCCUACUUUAUUUGCCUUAUUUCUACACACAUCAUUUCUCAACUUAUUAGUUAUCAGCUUAAGCCCCCAGAAUCAAGGAGAAAUUCACAAAUUCUUUUAGAAAAUAGUAACACUUUAUACUCACAAGUACUACACAAAAAUCCUCUAUUUGCUACAAUUUAUGUCUGAAGGGAUUUAAGUUUAAUUGUCUUGAUCUCUUAGAAAAGAAAAGACUUGGAAGCAUUUAGUAUGACUAAAACUUUUCCCACAUGCUGUGACUUUAAUUAUGGAAAGUCGGGUCCCCUUAUAAUGCCCUGGAGUAUUGUGUAGGAAAUGUCCAUCAGGAACAAAGCAAGUGUAAUACCAUGAUCUGAAAUGAUUGGCUCCUAUACUUUCUAGUUUGUUUAAAAACACAACUGAAUGAAUCCACAUAGGAGAGCACUUCUACAUGUUCAUUUCAUUUUAUUCAUAUGACUAUGUUCCCCUUUGGUACACAUCAAAUACACAAUAUUCAUAUGGAUCUCCAAACAGGGCAUUGGAUCUCUAGAAAGUGGGAUGGUUGUUAGCCAGAAUGUAUACAUUUCAAUUGAGCUGGAAUCAUCUGGAAAAGCAGUCAUUGCUCUUAACAAGUGAAUCGUCAAGUUAAUCCCUCAUACCAGAGAACAUUUCUACCUAGCCAUUAUUUUUUAGUAUGAAGUAUUUUUUAUUUGUUGACACGUGUCUAUCAAUCCUUUUCAACUGCAACAGAGCCUAUUGUGUUAUGCUCAGAAACUGAAGAGGGGUAGCAUAUCUCUUCUUAUAUUUCCUUUGUAUGGGUUUGGGUAGCACUUAGGAAGAUAAUAAGUGGCAAGAAAAGUGCUAAUCAUAUUUCAAGUAAAAAACUGAACACAGCUACAAGCAUAUAUAUUUUAAUCAAAUUUUAUAAAUGUCCUAUUUAUUAAAUAUUUAAUUUAAAUUAAAACAAAUUAAAUGCAAAAAUAAUUUAAGGAGCUUGGAUACAUUAAGAUCUCAGGUUCCCAGAUACAGUUUGACUCCAAGGAGUUCUGACACACCCAGGAUCUCAGGAUCCCAGGAUUCCAGAAUUUAGGAUCACAUGGACAACUGGACUAUGAGGAGUUCUGAAACAACCAGGAUUACAGGAGGGACAGGCCCCAGUCAGACACAGUGAGGGCAGGCAGCACUACAGAUAACCAGAUGUCAAGAGGCAAGCAUAAGAACAGAAGCAACAGACGCCAAGUUUACUUGGCAUCAUCAGAACACAGUUUUCCCACCAUAGCAAGUCUGGAUACACCAUCACAUCCCGAAAAGCAAGAUUCAUAUCUAAAAUCACUUCUAAUAAUGAUGAUAGAGGUAGAGGUCUUUAAGAAGGGCAUAAAUAACUCUCUUAAAGAAAUACAGGAGAAUACAGGUAAUCAGGUGAAGGAAUUUAAUGAAACCAUUCAGGAUGGAAAAAAAAACCAGAAAUAGAAACAAUAAAUAAAUCACAAACCCGAGACCUUGGAGAUAGAACACCCAGGAAAGAGAUCAGGAAUCAUAGAUGCAAGCAUCACCAACAGAAUAGAAGAGAUAGAAGAGAGGAUCUCAGGUACAGAAGAUACCAUAGAAAACAUGGACACAAUAGUCAAAGAAAAAUGCAAAAUGAAAAAAGCUCCAAAAACUAAACAUCCAGGAAAUCCAGGAUGCAAUGAGAAGCCAAAAUCUGAGGAUAAUAGGUAUAGAAGAGAGUGAAGAUUCCCACCUUAAAGGCCCAGUAUCUUCAACAAAAUUAUAGAAGAAAACUUCCAUAACCUAAAGAAAGAUGUGCCCAUGAACAUAAAAGAAGCUUAUAGAAUUCCAAAUAGGAUCAGAAAAGAAAUUCCUCCCAUCAUAUAAUAAUCAAAACACCAUAUGCACUAAACAAAAAAGAAUAUUAAAAGCAGUAAGGGGAAAAGGUCAAGUAACAUAUAAAGUCAGACCUACCAGAAUUCCACCAGAGUUCUUACCAGAGACUAUGAAAACCAGAUUAUCCUGCACAGAUGCCAUACAGACCCUAAGAGAACACAAAUGCCAUCCCAGACUACUAUACCCAGCAAAACUCUCAAUUAACAUAGAUAGAGAAACCAAGAUAUUCCAUGUCAAAACCAAAUUUACACAAUAUCUUUCCACAAAUUCAGCCAUACAAAGGAUAAUAGAUGGAAAACUCCAAGAUAAAGGAGGGAAACUACACCCUAGAAAAAGCAAGAAAGUAAACUUCCUUCAACAAGUCCAAAAGAAGAUAGCCACACAAACAUAAUUCCACCUCUAACAACAGAAAUAACAGGAAGCAACAAUAGUUUUUCCUUAAUAUCUCUUAAUAUCAAGUGGACUCAAUUCCCCAAUAAAAAGUCCUAGACUAACAGACUGGAUACAGAAACAGGACCCAGCAUUUUGCUGCACACAGGAACUACACCUCAGUGACAAAGACAGACACUACCUCAGAGUAAAGAGCUGGAAAACAAUUUUCCAAACAAAUGUUUCCAAGAAACAAGCUGAAGUAGUCAUUAUAAUAUCAAAUAAAAUCGACUUUCAACCAAAAGAUAAGAAAAGACACUUCAUACAAGAAGAUUGAAAUAAUCCCAUGCAUACUCUCAGAUCACCACAGACUAAAGCUGGUCUCCACUAACAACAAAAACAAUGGAAAGCCCACAUGCAUGUGGAAACUGAACAAUGCUCUACUCAAUGGUAACUUGGUAAAGGAAAAAAUAAAGUAAGAAAUUUAUGACUUUUUAGAAUUUAAUGAAAAUAAAGGCACAUCAUACCAAAACUCAUGGGACACAAUGAAAGCAGUGCUAAGAGGAAAACUCAUAGCUUUAAGUGCCUACAAAAAGAAACUGGAGAGAGCAGCUUGACAGCUCAUCUGAAAGCUCUAGAACAAAAAGAAGCAAGCAUACUUAAGAGACAUAGACAGUUGGAAAUAAUCAAACACAUGGCUGAAAUCAACCAAGUAGAAACAAAAAGAACUAUACAAAGAAUCAACAAAAUUAGGAGCUGUUUCUUUGAGAAAAUAAACAAUUAGAUAAACCCUAAACCAGACUAACCAGAAGGAACAGAGAAUGUAUCCAAAUUAAUAAAAUCAGAAAUGAAAAGGGAGACAUAAAAACAGAAACUGAAGAAAUUUUUAAAAAAUCAUCAGAUCCUACUACAACAAAAUUGGGAAAUCUGGAUGGAAUGAACAAUUUUCUAGACAGAUACCAGGUACCACGUACGAAGGUUAAAUCAGGAUCAGAUAAAUCAUCUAAAUAGUUCCAUAACUCCUAAAGAAAUAGAAGAAGUCAAUAAAAGUCUCCCAACCAAAAAAAGCCUAGGACCAGAUGGAAUUAGUGGAGAAUUCUAUCAGACUUUCAAAGAAGACCAAAUAUCAAUAUUUUUCAAACUAUUCCACAGAAUAGAAACAGAAGGAAUACUACCCAAUUUGUUCUAUGAAGACACAAUUACGCUUAUACCUAAACCAAACAAAGACCAAACAAAGAAAGAAAUCUUCAGACAUAUUUUCCUUAUAAACAUCGAUGCAAAAAUACACAAUAAAAUUCUCUCAAACUGAAUCCAAGAACACAACAAAAUGAUCAUUCACCAGGAUUAAGUAGGCUUCAUCCCAGGUAUGCAGGCAUGGUGCAGUAUACAGAAAUCUAUCAAUGUAAUCCACUACAUAAACAAACUCAAAGAAAAAAAUCACAUGAUCCUUUCACUAGCAUUUGAGAAAAUUCAACAUCCCUUCAUGUGACAAAUCUUGAAAAGAUCAAAAAUUGAAGGCCCAUACAUAAAUACAGGAAAAGCAAUAUAUAGCAAAGCAGUUAGUAGACAACAUUAAACUAAAUAGAAACUUGAAGCAAUCCCACCAAAAUCAGGAACUAGAUAAGGCUUCCCACUCUCUCCCUACCUGUUAAAUACAGUACUUGAAGUUGUAGCUAGAGAAAUUAGACAACAAAAGGAUGCCAAAUACAAAUUGGAUGGAAAGAAGCGAAAAUUUCACUAUUUGCAGAUGAUAUGAUAGUAUAAUUAAGUGACCCCAAAAAUUCCACCAGAGAAGUCUUACAGCUGAUAAACAACUUCAGCAAAGUGGAUGGACAUAAAAUUAACUCAGACAAAUCAGUAGCCUCUUCUACUCAAAUGAUAAACCGGCUGAGAAAGAAAUCCUUCACAAUAGUCACAAAUAACAUAAAAUACCUAGGUGUGACUCUAACAAAGAAACUGAAAGAUCUGUAUAACAAGUACUUUACAUCUUUGAAAAAAAGAAAUUGAAAAAUCUCAGAAGAUGGAAAGAUCUCCCAUGCUCAUGGAUUGGCAGGAUUAAUAUAGUAAAAAUGGCCAUCUUGCCAAAGGCAAUCUAUAGAUUCAAUGCAAUCCCCAUCAAAAUUCUAAUUCAAUUCUUCACAAAGUAAGAAAGAACAAUUUGCAAAUUCAUUUAGAUAACAAAAACCCAGGACAGUGAAAACUAUUCUCAACAAUAAAAGAUCUUCUGGGGAAAUCACCAUCCUGGAACUCAAGCUGUACUACAGAGCAAUUGUGAUAAGAUAAAACAAACAAAACAAAACACCUGUAUGGUAUUGGUACAGAGACAUGCAAGAAGAUAAAUGGAACAGAAUUGAAGACCCAGAAAUGAACCCACACAUAUAUGGUCACUUGAUCUUUGACAAAGGAGCUAAAACCAUUCAGUGGAAAAAAAGACAGCAUUUUCAACAAAUGGUGCUGGCUCAACUGGAGGUCAGCGUGUAGAAGAAUGCAAAUUGACCCAAUAUUAUUUCCUUGUACAAAUAUCAAGUCCAAGUAGAUCAAGGACCUCCACAUAAAACCAGAUACUGUGAAACUUAUAAAGGAGAAAGUGGGGAAGAGCCUCGAACACAUGAGCACAGGGGAAAUUUUCUUGAACAGUUCACCAAUGGCUUAUGCCUAAGAUCAAGAAUUGACAAAUGGGACCUCAGAAAAUUGCAAAGCUUUUGUAAGGCAUAGGACAUUGUCAAUAGGACAAAAGAGCAACCAGUAGGUUGGGAAAAGAUCUUUACCAAUCUUACAUUUGAUAGAGGUUUAAUAUCAAAUAUAUAAAAGGAACUCAAAAAGUUAGACUCCAGAGAAUCAAAUAAACCUGUUCAAAAUGGGGCUCAGAGCUAAACAAAGAAUUCUCACCUGAGGAACACUGAAUGGCUUGGAAGCACCUAAAGAAAUGUUCAACAUCCUUAGUCAUCGGGGAAAUGCAAAUCAAAACAACUCUGAGAUUCCACCUCACACCAGACAGAAUGGCUAAAAUCAAAAACUCAGGUGGCAGCAGAUGCUGGCAAGAAUGUGGUGAAAGAGGAACACUCUUCCAUUGCUGGUGGGAUUGCAAGCUGGAACAACUAUUCUGGAAAUCCGUUUGGUGGUUCCUCAGAAAAAUGGACAUAGUACUAAUGGAAAAUCCAGCAAUACCACUCCUGGACAUACACCCAAAAGAUUCUCCAACAUGUAAUAAGGACACAUGCUCCACUAUGUUCUUAGAAGCCUUAUUUAUUAGAGCCAGAAGCUGGAAAGAACCUAGAUGUCCUUCAACAGUAGGAUGGACACAGAAAAUAUGGUACAUUUACACAGUGGAUUACUACUCAGCUAUUAAAAACAAUGAAUUCAUGAAAUUUGCAAUCAAAUGGAUGGAACUUGAAAAUAUCAUCCUGAGUGAGGUAAUCCAAUCACAAAAGAACAACAUGGUAUACACGCACUGAUAAUUGGAUAUUAUCCCAAAGGCUCGCUGUACCCAAGAUACAAUUCACAGACCACAUGAGGCCCAAGAAGUUGGAAGGCCAAAGUGUGGAUGCUUAGGUCCUUCUUAGAAAGGGGAACAAAUACAGAGGUGGAUGCAUGCAGUCAGCCAUUAGACAGAGCACAGGGACCCCAAUGGAGGUUUUAGAGAAAUGACUGAAGGAGCUGAAGGGGUUUGCAACCCCAUAGAAAGAACAGUGUCAACCAACCAGACCCCUCAGAGCUCCCAGGGACUAAGCCACCAACCAAGGAGUACAUAUGGAGAGACCCAUGGCUCCAGCCACAUAUGAAAUAGAGGAUGACCUUGUCAGACAUCAGUGGGAGGAGAGGCCCUUGGUCCUGUAAAGGCCCUUGGCCCUUGGAUGGAUGACCCAGUGUAGAGCAAUUUGAGGGUGGGGAGGCAGGAGUAGGUAGAUGGGUGGGAGAACACCCUAUAGAAGCUGGGGGAGUGGGGAUGGAAUAGAAGUUUUCAGGGGGGAGGGGCAGGUAAAGGGGCUAACAUUUGAAAUACAGAUAAAGAAAAUAUCCAGUAAAAUUAAAUAAAAUAAUUUAAUUUAAAUUUAAAUAUUUUAUUAAUAGCCUUGUAUAUGGGGUAUAAAUAUAUUUUUUAAGGUUUUACUUGGUCUACACACAGAUACACAUAUAUGUAAAUUCACUUUCAAAGAAAGAAAUAUGAAAAGAUUAACAAUUUAGAGAAUAAUUAAUAAAGUCAAAUUAUAAAGAAGUGUCUGCUACUUUUAUAAACAUGUUGAGGUCCACUAGAAGUGAUUAUACAUAAGGAAAUUGGGUGGUCAUGAACAGAGGACCUGGGGUCUGGCAAACUCUUGAUGUUGUUAUUAUAUGAACAUGAUUGACUUAAGAAGUUUUAGGGAACUGUCUCCUGGGAAGAGCUUAUUUUUGUACAUGACUACUACCUCCUUGCAAUGCCAGCUGUCUGUUCCUGAGAUGGAUAACCCAAAUGUCAUUUCCAAGGAAGAUGGCUUCCAANNNNNNNNNNNNUCACAAAUAGAAAGGAACAGCAAGUUUUACACCCACUGCUUUUUAAAAUGAUAGCAGUGAAGUCUGACCUGAAUUGAGUAAGGCACUUGAGAUGACUCUGCUGGCAUUCUGAAACGUAAUCUUAACCCUCUCACAUGAGUAGUUCUCGAGACACCACACCACCAAGGAAAAGAGAACAUAACACAAAGGAUGCUACAUCUGAGCAGAAAGCACAUAGAAGUAAUGGAGGUUCCCCUCAACUCCAUUUAUGUGCCUUGGUGAGUACUAUCAGCAAUCAAAAGAGGAAGAAAACUUUUCCUCAGGUUUCAGACCUGGUCUUGGAUGGUAGAUUUCAUUUUCAAGUCAGGCUGAUAUUUUAAGUAUGGACUAAAACUGACUUUAGCACAAAAGUAUUCUUCAGGAAUAAAGAUUGAAUAAAACAUGUUUGUUCCUUGAGGAUAUUAUGCUGUUUUCCAGAAUUUUAAUAAUGCAUACAAAGCUUUAGAAACUUGGUAUAAUGGGUUCAUGAUGUCCUUAGGAUGGUAGGAUGCUUGCCCAGCAUACUUUUUGCCCUCCCUUCAACUCCCAGCAGCUCAGAAGGUGGACAUGGUACUGCACAGGUGUAAUUCUAGCACUAAGGAGGUAGAUGCAGGAGAAACACAAGUACAAAGUCCUCUGCAGCUUAAGUGAAUUCUAGGCAACCUGGAUAACAUAAGAACACCCUUCCCCCAAGACACACACACACACACACACACACACACACACACACACACACACGUACCACAUAAGCCUGGUGAGAUGACUCACUGUAACCUGGUGAUCUGCGUUAGAUCCCUAGAACAUAGUAGAAGAACCGAAUACCACAAGGUUGUUCUCCAACUUUCACAUGUUUGUGAUGGUACAUACACACACCCCAAAUAAACAGAAGAUAAUAAAAAUAAAUACAAGUCAAUACAGCACUUUGCUUAGCAUUUAAAUUUUUUACUGGUGACUUUAUAGUGGCUCUUCUUAAAUGGCAAUUCUUACUCAGUUGUUUUUGACUGUGAGGAUGUGUUAUGUCAGAAAUGGUACUUUAGAACUUGUAGAUUGAAGAGAUCUAAGAGGCAGGCACUGCUGUUAAUUCAGCCAAGUGAGAAACUGUGUGUACUCUCCCCAUCACCUCGUCUAUAGACAUGUUAAAAAUAGUGAUGUAUGUGCAUGACAUAUUAUUUAUUUAGUCUCCCUAGACUGAAUGUGAAUGUGGAUUUACAGACCCCUCACAAUAAAUUCUGCUACCCUCAGGGGUCCAAGACCUACUGCUUGAAAUCCACAGAGCAGGACAGGCUUAUGAUUGAUGACAACGAGGAGGGCCUGGGGCACAUCUGCUAGUCUUCCAUGGCUUUCAUCCUCACAGCCCUCACACAGCCUCCUUGAAAUGCCACACUCUGCUGUGUUUACUGGAAAUGUUUUCUGUAUAAACUUCAAAAAGUUAGUUAUGACUCUCUACAGCAGAAACAUUUUUCAUAAAAAAAAUGAAGUGUACCUUGGAUGAAGAUUUAUUCAUCAAAGAAAAAUGAUUUUCGAUUUAGGAUCUACUAGAUCUUUAAAUGUGCAUAAUAGUACUUUAAGUGGGAGGUGACUAUACACUUGUUUAAUGCAUAAUUUUCUAUACUUUUCUGAUAAAAUAUUUAUCAGUACAUUAAGGCAAAAGAUUCCCACAUAUAGUACCUAAAGACACAUAACUUUGUGUUCUCAUCACUAUGUAUACAUUGUAGUUGCAAUACAACAACAAAGCCUACCAAUGAAGACAGUAAUGCUACACAAUACAUAGCCAAGUAUCACUGUAAAUUCACUUUCUAGAGCCUUCUGGAAUUUCUUUCUCUCCACUGAUUUUGUCAAAGCUUAUGAUUCAAGAUGUAAGUGUAUAUAUCUAUCCAAUUUUGUUUCCUACCUCACCCAUUUUUUAUUGUCUUCUUUUUGGUUAAUCCUAGGUAGAGUCCCCCCCCCCCCUAGAAAUGCCUUGUUGUGGAUUGUCCUAAUAAUGUUUGUAUUUUGAUGUUUGUUUUGUUUCCUCAAGCAGGAUUGCCCCUGACAAGCAACAUCACAUACUCAGAUCAUCUCAUGUGAACCUUCUUCCCAUUUAACUGGUCAAUAAGGCUAGAGCCUGUGAUUGGGCAGUGGAAAGGAAAGGUGGGACUGAAUGCUUGAGAGUGUAUACAGGUGGAGGAGAGAAGAGGACAAGAGGGGAAGGAUGGAGGACAAAGCCAGAAGAGGAGGAGGAAGGCAUGAUGGACUAGAAACGUAUGGGCAGGAGAAACUGCAAGUAAGAAGGGGACUUAUAGCUGGGAAAUAUGUUAGUAUAGUGUUAGAUCUGACCAAUUUAGGCAUACAGCUUACAAUUAUAAUAACUGGAUUGUGUGUUUUUAUAUGGGUUUAUUGGGGUUGGAAAUUCCAAAAACAGUGCCUUAGAUAAUUAUUUUAAAUCUUUCAUAUAUGAAUCUGCACUCAUGUCUAUCCACUUUUUUUUUUUGCACCAACAGUACCUUUCUUCCUUUCUUUUUAUCAUGGAACAACUUUCCUGUCAGUUUGUCCUCCUUUGCUUUCUGUGCACACUUUUGUCACAACCAGUUUCAAUCAACGCUGUUCUGAUUUCCAGCCCUACUAUGUAGCUGUCUUCUACUUUUUGGGUUCUUUUUCCUUCCACCCUCCUCUAACCUCUUUCUACCCUUUAAUCCCCCUAAACACUAGAUAAAAGAGAAAAAAGUUAGAAAAGAAAGGAAAUAUUCCUGAAUAAAGUCAGGAGUCAGAAAGGGAGCAACAUUAUCAUUAGACUAUUUUUUUGCAAAUUAGGGGCAUUGAGUUCCUUGAGACAAGUUUGAUCUUCACAAUUAGGAUAUCUAAUUUCUUUCUUCUUCUUCUUCUUCUUCUUCUUCUUCUUCUUCUUCUUCUUCUUCUUCUUCUUCUUCUUCUUCUUCUCCUUCUCCUUCUCCUUCUCCUUCUCCUUCUCCUUCUCCUUCUCCUUCUCCUUCUCCUUCUCCUUCUCUUCUUCCUCCUCCUCCUCCUCCUCCUUCCCCUCCUCCUUCUUCCUCUUCUUGUUUCUUCUUUGUAACAACUACUUAACAAACUAAGACCAAAAGCAACCAAUCAACAACCACCAACCCAACAACUGUCUUGGAUCCCUAGCAUUUAUAUACCCUCUCAAAAGUUCCCAUAAUUCCAAAUAUGCAGAAACUAUCUGGAGCUGGCAAAAUCACACCCUCACUAGAGCAAGAGACAAAUCACAGUUGCAGUGGACAAUGUGAAACAGGCCUAUAUUUCAUACCUGAGACUGAAAAAAAAUCAAUUUCUAAUAACAUUUCUAUGUAUUUAUUUAAAUAAACCAAAAAUUCCAAAAUUCUCAUUAUACCAAUAUUUCAUUGAAAAGUUCUUAUCACAAAGACAAGUUAUGUAGUAUCUAGAUCUGAGGUUAGCCCAUUACUUCUCCUUCACUGACUCUUACAGUAGUGUGUACAUACUGAUCUUCCUUAAAUAUUUCCUUUGGUCUGAUUCCUUCGUUCCUUUAUUCAGGAAGAUUUGCUCAUAGGAUAGAACACAGGAAAAGAAAGGCUGAGUUCUUGAGCUAGAAGUCUGAGAAACUAGAAACCUAAACAUGAGGCUGCAGAAGAGUAAGCACCAUGGUUGAUGAGACACAGUUUGAUAGAGGACUUAAGAGCAAUACCUUCUUAAGAUCAGAAGUGUCUAGGGAAACUUCCUGGGAAAGGUGACACUUAAUUAGAGACACUUGUCAGAUGAAAUAUCCAGAGAGCAGGGUAAUGUAAUGAAAAGGACCAUAAAGGCAGAAGAGCUCAUGUAAAGGGAUUCAGUGUCAGAAGGGAAGAAGGGAGGGGAAGAAACAGAAAAAGUCAGAGAGCUAGAGACAGAGACAGAGAAAGACAGAGACAGAGAGAUAAGGCACAUGCACAUAGAGAUACAUACAUACAUACAUACAUACAUACAUACACAGACACAUACAGAUACAAACAUACAUACAGACACAGAGACACACAGACACACAUAAAGACAGACACAUACUUAGACAGACACAGUCAGACAGACAGACACAGACACAGAGACAGACACUGACAGACACAGAUAGAUAGACAUACAUAGUCAGACAGACAGACACAGAUAGAUAGACAUACACAGUCAGACAGACAUAUAUACAGACAGACACACAAACACAUGGACACAUAGACACACAAAAAGAAACAGACAGGCAAACAGAUACAGACACAGAGAGAGACAGAAUAGUCAGAGACAGACAGACACAGACAGAUGGACACACAGAGGAAAUGAACCAAGAGAGAGGGAGGGAGGAAAGGAAGGAGGAAGAAGAAGAAGAAGAAAAAGAAGGAGGAGGAAGAGGAGGAGGAGGAGGAGGAGGAGAAGGAGAAAGAAGGAGAAGGAGAAGGAGAAGGAGAAGGAAAGAAGAAGAAGAAGAAGAAGAAGAAGAAGAAGAAGAAGAAGAAGAAGAAGAAGAAGAAGAAGAAGAUAAGAAAGAGAGAGAGAGAGAGAGAGAGAGAGAGAGAGAGAGAGAAGUUUGGGUGGAGUGUGAUGAAGAGAAUGGAAAAAUAUAUCACCCCAAGGAGGUCACAUCACAUCAUGGCAGGCUUUGUGGGAUAAUUCGAGAUUAGAGUAUUUAAUGGUGCAGAAAUAUCAUAAAGAACAUAGAUGUUAAAUUUUCUGAGGUUGGAGAAAGGGUUGGAAAUGUGGCAAAGGUAGCUGAAGAGCUUCAGGAGGCCAUGGCAUCAAUUCUGUGUAAUGUAAUUGUUAUACAGGCACCAGGCAUGAGGGAAUGGUGUUUCCUUUAUGCAGCAGUAAGUUCUCUCUUUCCAACCACACUGUUAUGGAUGUUGGUGAUGUGGAAAUCAGUGUUAAAGGAGGGAGGGAGGAAGGGAAAGGAAGAAGAAAAGAAUGAAGGAGAGGAGAAGGGGAGUGGAAGGAGAGAGAGUUGAAUUAAUGCCACAUGGGAAGAAAUAAAAUGCUUUGCAGAUUGACUGGAAGCCAGAGGUAGGUAUAACAUCUGGUCUUAGAAGUUCAUAAAACUAGGACAACCACCCAUAUGGUGGUGCCAUUCAUGCCACUGGAAAGUACUCAAGUAGGAAUGUGGUGUCCCUAACAGUGGAAAGGGUUGUGGUUUCAGUUUUACUUUACUGUUGUUUUCCAAAAGAAAACAUACUAUAAAGGCAGGAGCCACCUAGAAAGGUAUUGGUUGUUUAUAAACAGCUAGCAAAAGAAAGAGAUAAUAAGGAUUUUUUGUACUAGGAACUUUAUCAGAGAUUAUGUCUGAAUGACCCACAAUAUAAAACAUGGGGACUAUGGUUCUGGAGGAACCUCUUUUUCUCAAGAGACAGAAACUACAGAUCUGGAUUCAUGGCUCUUUAUAUUUGAUAUCAAGGAUUCUGAGACAAAAAUCACAUCCUUACAUCCUUACGGCUACAUGUAUUUCUUCAAUGAUGGAGAACUUGCCUACAUACAUUUGGUCCUAGAGUUGAAUCUUGGCUCUACAAAAGAAUAAACAAAUGUAAAGCACAGAUAUAUUAAAUGAGCAAACUUUAAAAAAGAAUCACACAUACAGUAUCUGAAGCCACAUGCCUUUGUGUUAUCACCAUGUUUAAGAGUGAUAUCAGUCUUCAGAGGGACUAAGGAGAGCAUGGUGAAGUAAAAGAAUCCUUAGAAGAGUUUUAUGCAAAAUUUAAGGGCCUUUACUUUCUCAGGAUCCUGCCAAGGGCUGUGCACAUAACCAGCUCUGAGGUCUGUAAGUCAGAAAAAAAAUUUAUAGUAGUAAAUACUGACAUGUGAAAUAUAAGGAAAGAAAACAACAGCUUUUCAAUUUUCAUCAGUUUCCUCCUCCUUUUGUAUUUUAUGACCCACAUAAAGUUUGCAGCACAAGUCACAUUUUUGCAAGAUCAUUGCUUUGAGGACUAUAUGAAGCAAUAGGUUACAAAAGGCUCUCUCUCUCUCUCUCUCUUUUUCUCUCUUUGUAAAACCAGAACUGCAUUUAAGCCACUUUCAAGAAUUCCCGUAUAUUGCUACAUACUUGACCACUUUCAGUGACAUUUUGGAUAUUGCACAGGGAGAAGUUUCACAGUUCUUCUAGAGAGAUACAUUCAAGAAAAAAACGAACCAUUUUUGUGUGUUAUGAAUAUAAGCUUUCAGUUCACAUUCUCACUCCCCAUCAUUUAUCAAGUCCUAAAUCUCUGCCCAUGCCAACAUAUUAUCAAUAUAUUAUACAACCUGCCUUAUGAAAAGGCUAUUUCCACACCAUUAAGAACGUCAAUUUUAUUUUGCCAACUUAGAACUAUUUUUAAGAAAUUUCAUUUAGUUGUAUCUUAUAGUCUGAUAUUUGUUUCCUGAAAAAUCUGUAAAUUCUUGCCAGUUUAUGAAAUACUAUAGCAUCUACAAGGGUCAGAGGUUAUCUAUGGCAAAAUUUCUGUAAACACAGAAUGGUCAACUUCCCAACAGUGUCUUCUAAGACGGUGGCCAACUCCCUUCUCUGUGUUAGUCAUGGUUAGUCACACAGGGAGGGACUUAACUCUGCUUACAAAAAAAGUGAUUGUUCCACUAUCCUCAGGAAUGGGGUUAGUCACCAGGGUGCUCCCUGGGGCAUUCCACUUCAUCCCUGCUUCCCCCAGGGCAGUAUUGUACUCAGACAAAAGUGUCAGCAGAGAUCCUUGAUUCAGGCACAAGGGCAACUAUUGCUCAGGUCAACUCACCCAGUCCUCGGAACCACCUGGAAUUAUUGGCUGUAUUUUAGAGAUUACAAAGCUGAAGUUUGGAAGGAAAAGACAUUUUCCUAGGGUCAACCAGAAUUGGGUUUUGAACUGAGUUUGGCUCAAGAGUCUGCUUUCAUAAUUAUCACACCAAUGCCUUCCAGAUUUUGUUCCCAAAGGAAGAAGAACUGGGGCAUCCUACCCCAGUCACAGCAUCUCCUUGGCUGUUGUUUUGUAUACUGAAGUUCCAUGAGAAACUUACAUACAGGGGGUGACAGCCACACUAUUAAAACUACAGGAAACUUUUGAAUCAAGACACCGCUCUGCACCUCUGAGGUACAGGACGUGGAUGCUGUGUUGCUUACUUUAGGCCCCCCCAAAUAAAUGGUCAACUCAAAUAAUCCUGCUGGAUUAUAUCAGUAAACUGUGGGUUAGGUCAAUUUAGGCCUGCCAAAGUGAUCAAGUGAGAAGGCAGUAUAACUUAGCUAACCUUUUGGUGUUCCACAUGCUCACCACUACAGUAUAAAUAUGAUGAAGGCCAUGGAUGUCUAGUGAACUUAGCAGUAUAGAGGUUAUUGAAGAAUAGAUAAAAACUUUAAAACAUCCUUGUCACAACUGGGCUUUGUUCACAGUGUGGGCAUUUGGGGCAUGAACUUCUGUUUGGGUGCAACAACUCAAGAGCACACAGUCUAAGAUGACAGAGAAGGGAGCCAAGAGAGGGACAGAAGCCUAAGACCCCAACCAGGUGGCUUAGUUGAAAUCAUAAACAAUGACCAGGACAGGAUGACAGAGGAAAGAAACUACCAUUUACAUAGGCUGAAGGAGGAAGUGUUUAUCUUGAAACUUUCAAUGUAAAGAUUUCAACCAUAGCCUUGCCCUGCUGGGGCUUAUACAUAAGAUGUGCUCACACUCAGUCUUUCAAGUUUGAUUUACAGAGAGUAAAUGGUUUAUUCUAGAAAAAUGUCACUGAGGCAAAUCAAUAAAUUAUAUCAUAUNNUUUUUUAUAUAUUACUGCUUUUGUAUAGUUGUAAUGACACAUUGAAAUAAUUAAAAUAUUCACUGAUCAUCUAUUGUACAUUGCACUAGACAGAGGCUAUAGGGAGAGUGGACCACACUAAAUCCCUGUUCUGACCACAUUUAUUUUAUUUUAUUUUUUAUUUUUAUUUUUAAUUUUUUUUAAUUAGGUAUUUUCCUCAUUUACAUUUUCAAUGCUAUCCCAAAGGACCCCAUACCCACCCCCCCAAUCCCCUACCCACCCACUUCCCCUUUUUGGCCCUGGCGUUCNNNNNNNNNNNNNNNNNNNNNNNNNNNNNNNNCCACAUUUUCUGUAUCCAUUCCUCUGUUGAGGGGCAUCUGGGUUCUUUCCAGCUUCUGGCUAUUAUAAACAAGGCUGCUAUGAACAUAGUGGAGCAUGUCUGACUACAUUUAUAGUGUAGUGGGAAAGGAUGGUUAAAAAUAAAUAAACAUCCGAUUUAGAAUGGCAGUUUCAGAUACUUGGAAUGAAAAACAUUACUAAUCAGGGCACUGAGACUAGCUUUGUUAUAGGCAGUGAAGAGGGACAUUCUAUACAGAGUGGCUAGGGAAUUCCUCAGAUGGCAUAAACUGUGAAAUUGUACAGAAACAACACAAAACAGAAAAAUUUGAAAACUAGGUAGUAAUUUAAGGGAAGGAACAUUCCUGCAUUCCUUCUAAGAGAUACAGCACACACAAAGGCAUCAAGGCACCUUCAUUGCUUGAGUGUGCUUGGAGCAGAGAGUGGGCACAGAGGAACAGACACAUAAACAACAUGGAGAGGAAGUCAAUGUGGUGGGCAAGCUGGUUAUUCCCAGAUCUUUGUAAGCCACAACAAGGACUGUGACUUGAAUUUGAAUGCUAGAGGCAUCAUGAGGAGAGAAAGGUUGCAAUAUGACAUUUCAAUUACUUGUGUCUAUGUGUGGAGUUUCAAAACCGAUGGGGAUGGUCCUGCCAUUAUUCAAGUGAGGGGGAUGCUGACUUCGCAUCGCCAUGAAAUUAGUAAAACAUGAAGAUUCUGGGUGUAUUCUGCUGGAAAGUAAGUGUAGAUUGUAGGGGGAAAAAACCCAACAAAUCAAAGAGGACUAAGGAAAUGGAAUUGUUGUGUAUAGAGUGGGAAAGACUGGUUCAUAAAGAUGUUUGAAAGGUUUUUUUCCCCUUGAGACAAAAUGUUAGCCUGACUAUCUUCAAACUUGCUACAGUUCUGCUAACUCUGCCUUCUAAAUGCCACAGUUAGGGAGGUGUGCCCUCACAUCCUUAUUACAGUGUUUUCUUCUUAUGAGGGUGCAAAAGUAAUUGGAGGAUCUCUAUUCUGUGACUUUAUGUAUCUAUACCAAUUACCUCACUGAAGACCUUACUGCCACAGUGUGGGGAGAGGCUUCACCACAUGAAUAUUACAUGGAGCAAAAUUUAGUCCCCAAUAAGAGACAAUGUACAAAAGAAGAGACUGUCAAACUGGACAGCCUUUCACAGCCUUUUACAGCCUUUCACAGGCAUUAGCAAACUUAGAAAGAAAUAAAAAGAUCUAAAGUGGGGCAUUAUGAAGAUUAGUAAACACGGACUGUUUUAAUUACUAACAUUGUAGGAUGACUAUGAUGAGACUUGGGAAUGGCCACUGAUUUUAGCAAUGUGAAGAACUUGGUGAUACGAAGAACUUGUUUGUGCUAUAGUACAAAUGAUUGCCCCAUGGCCAUGAAUUUCACCAGAACAUGGGAAGUAAGAUAAUUAUUCAUUAGUGGUGGAGAAUAAUCACUUCUGUAAAGAAGUAAUCCCAGUAAGACUUUGUGGAGCAAAGAAGAGAACCAUGGAGAACAGUGUACCUCAGUCCUGGUACUUUUUGAGGAUAUACUUGAGAUGAUGAAUAGGAGGAUAGAAGGAAUGAUUGGAGGAAGACAGCAGAGAUGGAACACAGGUCUGCUGGCCUUCUGGCCAUGUGGGUCCCUCACGAUAGAAGUGGAGAACUACUGAAUAGUUGUGAGACCUAAAACAGAACAUCAGCAAUCGUUGACACUUAAGUCCCCAGAAAGUAUAUCCCAAAGACCUCUUCUCUGGUUGAAAUUAGAAAAAAAAAAUGAUUCAGACUGUUUUAUCUUCUCAGAUUUUUGGUUUUGCCUUGCACUAGAUACUGCAGUUCAGAAUUGUGCAAUUGGUGGCGUGUCUACAGGGCAGAGACCUUUGCUCUUGAUGGGUAUCCUUCUCUAGUCUGCUUAUCAUGGCACAGAGCUGAGUGGUAUCUCGGCUAGACACUGAGAGUUUUGCUCAAUGCUUUACACGGGAACUAAUCACAUAAAGGGUUAGGAUCUUAGCCUUAUGAAGACAUCAUGUCUUCUCAUGACACAGAAUGGAAAGUCAUGCUAGAGGUCCCAGAUCUCUGGAGGGUACACAACAUGCAGUAGAGUCAUAAAACAUGUUAAUUCUCUUACAUUUUCCUCUUAGAAGUUUCCUUUAUUUUCACAGAAAGUCGGGUCUGAUGACCUAAACUAAGCAUGCUGACAUCAAAUUUCCAGAUUCUGGGAUACUCAAAUUAUUUUGCUACUUAAAACCACAUUGAGCUUCCAACAGUUAUUCAGAAGAGCCCCUGUGCAGGCAAGUAUCCCAUCAGUUUAUGGCAGGCUCUGAAAAAAUUUACUUGAAUGGGAGUUCUGUUGCCUUUUGAGCAGAGUGGUUGUCUGAAACAAAUUUACUGUACAGUAAGUUGUAUUUCCUGAGGUAACUAAGUUCCCGUCUAAUGGCCUUAGAGUGCAGCUCCCAGGAGUCAUAAUGCUUUUUGCACACAAGCUUGCAAGAGCUCAGUGCAGACUUGGGCAAAUAAACCCCUCUGUGCACAAAGGGUUCUAGAAAUCUCUUGCAGACAAUCCAAACAACAUAGCCUUCCCACUCUUUGCCUUUCCCUUAGCUUAUACUUCUGAGUUUUUGUUAACAUUUAAAAAAGAUAUUUAAAGCUGCAUUUUGUUCACCUUGUAAAAUGAAAGAGUACAUUGUACAGGCACUGGAGGUACAUGUCAGUGCUUUUAUCAAGUCAGGGGCCUGCUCUGCAGCAUUAAUUGGAAGCAUGUGUUGAAAAUUCAGGGCAGGUUUCUCAGUGUCUCUUUAAUUUAGUAGAAUAAAAUAAGAACUAAACUCACAUUUCUUUAUGAGGCCAGUCUGUUGGAGUUGUUCUAUUAGCAGGUCUGAUGGAUGACUCUGAUGGACAAUACUGGUACCUGUGUUUAGGCUGCUGGGAUGCUGGUAGUUGUUCUAUUUAAGACCUUAUUCAUGGUUCUACUACACUUUCAGGCACCAUUAUAGAGGACUUGUUGUAACUGAUUCUCUGAAAGUUAGCUGAGGGAUGCUGAUAGAAAGCAUAAUUGAUUUCAAAGACACCGGAUGACCGACACAUGAAAGAUUUUCAAAUAGCCAUAUGUCAGAAGCUAAAUCUGCAAAGUCUCACCAGUAUGACUGCCUAAACAUGACCUGAAGAAAGAGAAGAACAGAAGACAUGACAAAAUGGACAGGGGAAGGACAGUGAAGCCUCACCCUACACUAAGACCUACAGGAAACAAAUGAGUAUGGAAAGUGAGAGAAUUAGUCUUCUCCAGGGAAGAGCACACCAAUUGGUUGUAUGUUAUGUGUAGCUUUUUGCUACCCCACCUAUGCUCCAGGAACGGACCUAGCUACCAGACCCCUCCCAGCUUCCCAUGAAUCCACGCAUAAAACACAUACACACAGUUCAUUUUCUUUCUCUCUCUCUCUCUCUCUCNNNNNNNNNNNNNNNNNNNNNNNNNNNNNNNNNNNNNNNNNNNNCCCCCCCCCCCCUCUCUCUCUUUCUUUCUUUCUUUCUUUCAAUUGUCAUCAGGAUGUUUACUGGAUAUUUUCUUUAUUUACAUUUCAAAUGUUACCCCCUUUCCCAGUUUUCCCCCUGGGAACUCCCUAUUCUAUGUUCCCUUCCCCUGCUUCUAUGAGGGUAUUCUCCUACUCACUCCCACCUCCCUGCCCUCUAAUUCCCCUACACUGGGGCAUCGAGCUUUACAGGACCAAGGGCCUCUCCUUCCAUUGAUGCCCAAUAAAGCCAUCCUGUGUUGCAGUAUUUUCCCUAUCCAAUUACAUUAGGGCAGCAGGAGGCUUGUGAUUGGACAGGGAAAAGGGAGGUGGGUUUCAAGUUCAGCCACUUAUUGAUUGGACAUUCCCUCAGUCUCUGCUCCAUCUUUGUCUUGCAAUUAAUUUAGACAGGACAAAUUUUGGGUUGAAAGUUUUGAGGGUGGGUUCAUGUAUCCAUUCCUCCAUUGGGGGUCCUGCCUGGCUGCAGGAGGUGCCCUCUUCAGGUUCCAAGUUCCCACUGUUUCUCCUCCAUGGUUUUAGUGAGAUUGCUUCAUGUUUCUAUCCAUUUAAUUUGAUGUUGGCUGUUGGUUUGCUGUAUAUUGUUUUUUAUAUGUUUAGGUAAGUGCCCUGAAUCACUGAUCUCUCCCAAGACUUCUAACAUAAAGGGGUGUAGGAUUGUGGAAGGGUUUUUUUCUGCAUUCCAUAGGAUUAUGAUAUGAUUUUUUCUUUCAAUUGGUUUAUAUAGAGGGUUACAUUAGUGGAUUUGCUUAUAUGGAACCAUCCUUGCAUUCUUGGGGUGAGGCCUACUUGAUUGUGAUGAAUAAUGAUUUUGAUGUGUUCCUGGAUUCUGCCUGUGAUAAUUUUCUGGGUAUUUUUGUGUCAAUGUUUAUAAGUGAAAGCAGUCUGAACUUCUCUUUCUGUGUUGAAUCUUUGUGUAGUUUAGGGAUCAGGAUAAUUGUGGCCUCAUCAAAUGAAUUAGAUAGUGUUCCUUCUGUUUUUAUUUUUGUGGAAUACUCUGAGGAGUAUUGGUAUUAGCUCUUCUUUGAAAGUAUGGUAGAAAUUUGCACUAAAAUCACCUUGCCCAGGGCUUUUUUGGUUGGGAUAUUUUUAAUGACUGCCUCUAUUUCCUUAGGGGUUAUAGGACUGUUUGGACAGUUUUCCUGAUCUUGAUUUAACUUUGGUAAGUGGUAUCUGUCUAGAAAAUCAUCCAUUUUGUUUAGAUUUUCCAUUUUUGUGGCAUAUAGGCUUUUGAAGUAUGACCUAAUGAAUUUUUAAAAUUUCCUCUCUUUCUGUUUUUAUGUAUUCCUUUUCAUUUUGAUUUUGUUAAUUUGGAUACUGUCUUUCUGUUUUUCUUAAAAACCAGCUCCUGGUUUUGAUGACUCUUUUAUAGUUCUAUUUCUUUCUAAUUGAUCGUAGUGCUUACAUUUCCAUUGAAUUCUAGAAAGUAUUUAACUUCUUUCUUUCUUUCUUUCUUUCUUUCUUUCUUUCUUUCUUUCUUUCUUUCUUUCUUUCUUUCUUUCUCUCUUUCUUUCUUUCUUCCCUGACCAAGUUAUCCCUGAGUAGAGAGUUGUUCAGUUUCAGUGAGUAUGUGGGUUUUCUGUUGUUAGGUUGUUUUCAGUGAGUAUGUGGGUUUUCUGUUGUUAGGUUGUUGUUGAGAUCCAGCCUUAAUUCCUGGUGAUCUGAUAAAAUGCAUGCCAUUAUUUCAAACUUUUUCUUACUGUAGAGGCUUGCUUUGUGCCCUAUUAUAUGUCAAAUUUUGGAGAAAGUUCCUGUGGUGCUAAGAAGAAAGUAUAGUUUUUUGGGGGGAGUAGAGAGGGAAGGUCUAUAAAUAUUUGUUAAAUGCAUUUGGUUCAUAACACAUUAGCUCCAUUGUUUCUCUUUUUAGUUUCUGUCCUUGAGAGUGGGAUGUGGAAGCCCCCUACCAUUAUUGUGUGGCGUUCAAUGUGUGAUCUGAGCUUUAGUAAUGUUUCUUUUAUGAGUCUAGGUUUCCUUGCUUUUGGGGCAUAGAUGUUUAGAACUGAGUGGCCACCAGAUUGUUAAUUUCAUGUGUGAAUGCUUUUUGGUAUGAAUCAAAGUUAUAGCAUUUCCAAAGAUGUUGGGUGUUUAACUGGUGAGCAUUUCCAAUGAUGCUUGAUGUUUUAUUGGUGAAUGUUCCUGGGUAUGAAGUACAGUUUGAUGAUGUCCCACACAACUUAUGAAUGAAGGAGCUGCACAGCCUACAGACAGAUCUGAAUCCUUUGGGUGUACAUGGUUGUGCCUGCCUCAUGUCUCCUUCCAAAUUUUUACCCAGAGCAUAGAUCCAACUAAGUCAUCUCUAUCCUUCCACUGCAAAUCUUCUAGAUCUGUACAUUAACAUCCCCUGAGCUUUAUAUGGCACAGACUUCCCUUCAGACAAACUUCCAGGAUUCUUGAAGGCAAGUUCAAAACUUCACUUAUAGAAUUUUUCUGGUCUCUCAACUGUUCUCUAACUUUCUCAAAGAAAUGAGAGUAUAACAAUAUUCUAGGGUUGUGAUGGAGAAAUGGACUUCAGAAAUGGCAAUAUUUAGGGGAUGAAGAGAUGGCUCAGUGGUUAACAGAAGUUCUCAGCACUCAAAUCAAGAGUCUAUAACUCCACCUCCUGAGAAUCCAGUGCCUUCUGGCCUAUAUAGAGACCUACACUCAUGCUACAACCCUUCCCCAUACAAACACAGAAAGAAAGAAAUGUAAAUCUUUAGAAAAUAGCAAUAUUUUAUAUAGUUCUGAAGAAAAUACCACUUUUGUUAUUGUAUUUUUUCUAAUGUAACUCUUGCUGGAUAUACAAAUCUUACUAAACUUGAAUAAUCUUUGAUAAAUUAUUGCAUAAGAAAAGCUGUAUCUGGGCUGGUAAGCUAGUUUGCUCAGUGGGUUAAGAGUGCUUGACAUGACACCUAACAACUUGAGUUCAAUCUUCUGAUCCCAUGGCAUGCAUGAGCUCACACUCAUACACCUACCAUAGAGCAAGCAAUCAUUUUUAUGUUUGACCUACUGUUAAUACCUGACUACAGUUUUGUAAUGCAGUGUAUCUACACUGGCUUAGUUAGACAGGUUUCCUGGAAGUCUCACUGUAUGGACUGGGCUCUAGCUUGCAAAGCAGACUCAGUUAUGAUCUGUAAGUCAUCAUAGGCCAGACAUGGGGAACAGCAACUCCCUGGAGAAUUGCUACUUGAAAUCUUUCGAAAAUAAAAUGUAUUAAAUUUUCUUGCUAGUUUAGUAACACUCUCGCCCCUACUUAAAGAGCCAUUUAAGUAAUAAAAGUGCUGGAAGGGAAGGAAACAGGAAGUGUUUCACAGUAUGCAUACAUUAGAUCUAGCUCUGAAAAGCAAAGUAUCAGGGCAACAUCAGGCAACGCCUUCCCUCAUCAUGAGUCCCGAGAGUCCUCUUCUCUCUGCCAGUUUGCUAGGAGUUGCUGAUGAUGAUUCUGAUUUUUCUUCCUCUUUUUCCUCUUCCUCUUUCUCUUCUCCUUCUCUUCCUUCUCCUUCUAUUUCUUCUUUUUUUCUAUUUCUCUUCUCUUCUAUUUCUUCUUUUCUUCUAUUUCUCUUCCUCCUCAUCUUCCUCUUCUUCUUUCUUCCUUCUCCCUCCUCUGCGUCCUCCUUCUUUUAUUUUCCUUUUAGUUUCUUCCUAAAUUACAUAUUGGCUUCUCCAGAAAAUACAUGUUUAAACAAGCCAUGCACCCAUCUCAUUUCAUUUAAUUUUCUGGUCUCUCAGUCUCAUCACCUUGACUAGGACUGGGAAGUGAGGCAGGAGGAAAUUGUAUAAAACAAUGUGUAACAUAUUGGCUAGCUAUGGCUCAAAAUCCUAAAAUCCACUAUCAAUUUUUUUUUUUUUUUUUGGUGGUGGUGGUGGUGGUGAAAUCCCUGUCUAGAAAGAUCUGACCUACUUUCCUUGUUACUUUGGUUCCUGUAGCUCUGCUUUUGAAUGAAGGGCUUAUUUGUAGGUGCUGCAUGUUGUUAGCAGAAAUUCAGACAUAAGCAAUCAAGGCAUACAAGCCACCACUAAGUAACAGAAAACAGCAAACAAUCAAUAAAUCUUCCUUGUUUUUGCUUUCAACUAUGAGUAGUUCUCAAAAAAUAAAUAAAUAAAAAGAAUUUCUUCUAAGAUCCUAGUGAGAACACAUGACAUCAACAUGGUCGCCAUCAUGGUGGGGCAUCUAAGCAUGACCCUCUCCUUUCAUGUUGUCACACUUUCUUGACUUCUGGAUGAUAUCUCUAUGACAAUUACUUUCAGAAAUGUCCUUAUCACUCUCAUAGCUUUUGGCAAAGAGCACAGCUCGAAGGCAGAGUUUUUAGACAUAAACAUUAUUUAAUCUACUCCCAUUUGACUGGCUACUAUAUCCAAGAUCAACAUUAAAUUUCAAACUCUCUAUAAGUAUAGCAAACAGUUCAAGAUUCAUCCACAUUCCUUCAACUGAAACUUUGGUCACCAAAAUCUCUCAUGAUUUUUUUGUGGAAAAAACACUCCUCUAUCCAUAUGGAGGUAGGGGUGAUUCUCUCUUGAAGAAUUAAGAGUCUUUAGGGUCAAUGAGAUCUUGGUGUGAAAAUCUACUCUACUCUGUGAUACUGUGGGAUGAGAAUUUCUGAUGGAGUUCUUCAAAGAAUGGUAGGGAAAAAAUUAACAGGUGAGCAGUAAUAUUCAUGUUGAAUUUUAUUCAAAUAUGGGGGAGGAAAAAAAUCAUGUGUAAAUGAAAGGAUUAUCAGGCAGUUUAAAACGUGAGCCAAGCAUAGUCCAUAUAGUGUUGUAUACUGAGGACAUAAGAAAGUUACUGGCCAGAAUGAGAGAAAGCAGGCAAUCAUUUCAGGGCACUCUUUACCAUAAGGAUACAGAGAUAAUCAUUUUAAGUUAACUCAUGUAAUAUCUAUAAUGAAGUUUCAUCUAAAGAAUUUGCUAGAAAAGUCACACCCCUUGUUAAGAAUGUAAAUCAGGACAAUAGCCAUAAAUGUGUACAGGGGAAGUCUUGUGGGUGUCAUCGUUCCCCUUAUAAUAUUAUUAGCAUGAAGCAGAACUGUAACUGUGGUUUCUGGGAAAUCAACUCACAGGAAAAUUAAGGAGGCUAAUGUUGAAUCUAGAUGUCAGCUACUUGUGAAGGAUUCUAAAAAUGACGCUUGAGUAUAAGGAUUACACAAAAGAGUGAUGGUUGAUUUUCCGGGUCAAGUCUAGCGAAAGUCUCAUGGAGCUACAUUUUUUUUCCUUAUUCUUAGAUAUCCCCAAAGAGCUUUGUGAAUUCACAGUUAACUAUAGGGUAGUUUCAGCCUUGUUUUGAGGGCCCCAUGCUUCAUUUCCUACAACAUGUGCUCUGAGGGCAAAGGGUGCUUACUUGUUUUGCUCACCACCAUAGCUAAUGCCAAGAACAAAAACUAGCACAAAUGUUCAGAAACUGUUUGUAAAAUGAAUAGAUUUAUCUUUUAUUUCUCCAGAUGGCCCAGGUCUGUACUUGGUGUAUAACCUUUCCUUGGUAAACAUUUGUUGGGACAAACACCCAAUAAAGAGUUGUUUGGCUCAAAAAACAGAGUGCUGUACUUUAUAAAUUUGAUUAUAGGUCGUGAAGCAAACCUUUUCUAAAGUAGAUCGCUGACCUUUUAAAAUUAUAUAAUAAAGACACCUAUGCUUAUGCAGGGCCCCUUUUUUCUUCCCUAAUGAACUCUGUACCUUAUCUGUUGCCAGCCCCAACUUAUAAAUUUUAAGCUGAAAAAAAAUCCUUCCAAAAUGAAAUCCAUUUGUCUUAGAAGUGGGGAUACGAACAUUCAAAGAGUCACAAUGCAUUGAAACUCUGUUUCUGUGCUUUUCAAGUCAGCCAGUGGUCUCCAGAGCAUUUAUUUUCGGGUGCAGACAGUGGAAACCACAGACGUAAACAUGGCCUGGAAUAGCAGGAUCUGAACACAUUGUAGAGUGUUGUUUACAAUGUGCAUGAAACAGAAUGCCAUGCUUUUCUUGUCUCCAAAGAUAUGAACAAUUUGUGCUUAGAGGCUGUAUGCAUUAUUUUAUAACCAAGUGAAUCAAUGCAAUGCAGAGAUGGAUAAAAAUAUCUGUUGGCCCACACACAUGAAAUAAAAAUCCAAAAUGUCAAAAUAUGAUGAAUUCUAUGGGUGCUAUUGCUAGUAUUACUUUGGGAAGAUACUCAUCACUGAUUUUUCUCAUUUACUCUACACAUACUGGUUGUGUACUUUUUAAUUAUUUGUAUUCUGUCCCAUAUUUUCAAGUUCCUUGGAAAGAGCUAAGUUACAUGCAUCUUAAAUUAUAGCAAACACAAUAGUAUAGCAACAUUCAUGCAUGACUAAGGAGGAAUUUGUGCUUUAGUAUUGUAUUUCUAAUUGAUACAUUUAUAAAUAUACGGAUUUUUCUUAAGUGUAACCUAUCAAAAAAUUGAAAUGUGAUAAAAAUUUCAUUCUUUUAAAGUUUUAUUUUUAUUGUAGUCCAGGCUAGCCUGGAACAGCAAUCCAGGCUGACUUUGAAUUCAUGGAAAACUUGCCAGCAGCUUUGGCCUUCCAAGUCAUGAGUAUAUAAGCACAACCCAUACAUGGAUAAAAUGUAGGAAAAUUCUCUCUCUCUCUCUCUCUCUCUCUCUCUCUCUCUCCUCACAUGUACUUGUAAGUCUGUUUAUAACUUUUCCCAUUAGCUUUGGUAAUAAAAGUAAAUCUGAUAUUUAAAAGUCACACGAAACCAAAGGUGAUGAUAUAGGUAGUUAAGAGCUGAGUGUUGAAAACUGAACCUACAGUUAGUAAUCAAACACUCAACUUAUGAGCAGAGAAGAAAGUAUAACCCAAGAAGCCAAAUAAUAGGUGGGUAGAAUAAAGGAAGACCACACUGCACAAAUGAUGUCCCAAAAACCAUGAGGAAAAAGAUA